AAAAAACAUGCACACACAGAUAAUAAUAAUAAUCAUGUUUCCAUAAAAUUGCUAAGUCCAGAGAUAAUACAUAAACAUAGUAGACUGUUCAUGACACAUAUCACGGUGGACAGUGUUUGUGUCCUUAUUACAAGCAACGAGAGAUGCUCGUCACCAACACGCGCGCGCACAGAUGCACGACAUACAUAUAGUAGAGACCAACAGAUGGUCGUCCCAUAUGGUGAACAAUUUAUUGGGGAUAAAUAUUAACGUAACUUGGCCAUAGCUUGAAGCAUAGCAACAUAUGCCUAUGAGUGGCAUUCAUGCUAUCGUUUUAGGCUUGUCCAGCUCCUUCCAUCUUAGCAAGCACUUCCAUUUCUACCAUCUUAGCAGCAACUGUCAAAUUGAGAUACGGAAAUCCCAUUAGCGCAUGAGUUAAUUUUGCAGUGGAAAUAGAGUACAAGAUGUCUUCAUGAUGUAAGUAAUAUGCCUGAAGUUGUGAGAUGGGAAGUGAAGUCAACAAAUUACAUUAACGGAAAUGCAUGGAAGGCCACACAUACGUAUUAGUCCAUGAUAUGCUACAAAGCUUGUAUGUACAUAUAGCAAAUUAAAUGCAUUAAUUGAAUAGAGUGUGUUUAGUGAAUUUACCAGAAUCGUCCAGAAAACAUGGGAAACAGCAAGUGUUCUUGCAGACUGCGUCGGAGGCACCCGCACGAAUACAAAGCUGACAACAUAGUUUUGCCUGGGCGGAUGCGCAGCAGCCGCACUCCGCCGCGGUGGGGUUAACAUUGAGGCUCAAGAUGACCAGGCACAUGAUCACCAUCAAAGUGGUAGUCCUCUUUCCCUCCAUUGCCUCCUCUUAGCUUGCUGCUACCUUCCUUGGUUACCUAGCUAAGUUUAUUGGUUUUGUGUUGAGAGGUGUGAUUUUUGAAUGGACGUUGCCGGCGGCAAUUUAUAGGCAGCUGAGCUAUGUGAUGAUAUGGACUAGGUGCAAAUGGGUGGUUAAUGGCAAGGAAAGGGGCGUCAGACAAAGCCCAAUGGCAACUGCUGACAUGCGAUUAAAUUCAGAUCCACAUCCGGCCAUUCAAUAAUACGGUUGGAGUUGUGGCACAGAUAUAUUAUUGCAUGAUCAUCAAGAUAAGAUCGUACAGUGACUGAGUGAGACAAUAAAUAGCCAAGUAAACUAUUUUAUCCUGCUGCAAGCUGCAUUCAUAAGUUUAUUUCACCUUUGAUCACAAUACUCUUCACACACGUACGUCUCAGGGAGAUCUCACUUCCGCUGGACUGCUCACUUCCGCUGUCGUCGGUACUGCCAAAGACAUAAGCUCACAUCUGCUAUUGCGGAGCAGGCCAAUUUGCUGCGGAACUUCGGCGACGACCUGAAGGACAUGAACUCGGUGCUGGAGUCCAUCUCAGCAGCGCUCUAGGACGCUGACACCGGUAGAAAAACGACCUUCCAUCGUCAACAAAAAUCCCGGUAGCUUUUUUACUCGGUACUAAAGAGGUUUUAAUCUCGUGCAAACACCUUUAGUCCAGAUUGCUAUUACCACGCAACCCGGACUAAAGCGUCCCCCGCGAGUUAGUAUAUAAGGAUUGCAUCCUUUACUCAGUCAGAUAUAAUAUGUAGGUGAGAUGGUAAGGAAGCUAUGCGUGAGGCUUCAGGUUGUGGGUUCGAAUCCAAGUGGGUGCAGCUGUGGCUUAAGCGGCUGAGGCACGCCGCCAUAGACAUCUCAGAUUUGCUCGAAGACUACCAAGACACUAGUGAACCCUUAACAGUAAAGGUGAGUACUUAUGAAUGUCAGCAUCCAUGUUGUCCAUGCUUCCAAUGUAAUAACAAGAUGGACUACUCUUCCUAGCGGACUCUUCACAACCACUCGUAAAGCUAUGCGUUUCUCAAUGCAAUUUCGUAGAAGCCAAUCGAUCCAACCAAGUGACUAAAUCAUUCGUCCUUUCCAAUGAUGUGCAUCAGGUUUUCUAUAUGAAGGGCAUGUCUAGCAAACCUAAGAUUUCAGAAGAAAAAGAAAAAUCAUUGGAGCCAAAGAGCCACAUAGUUCUUCUAGGAAAAAAAUCAUGGGAGUCGAGAACAUAUCAAACCAAUCAGGGGAUUAUGGUCAGCUUAAUGGCAUGCCUCCAUUCGAUGUCGAAGUUCACCCAAGCAUCAUGUUAGCCAAACAUCAAAUGUUCGUGCGUUGUUACGGUAAAGAUCAAUUGUGUUUUUUAAACUCUUGGAAUUUUUUUAUCUAAGUUUUUAUUUACACUUAUUGGAUGUCUACACAUUUGCUAGAAAACUAAAAUAAUUUGGACUUAAUUAUUUCUUUCAACUGAAGUACUCACUAAAUUUCUACCUUUUUAUUUAAGCAAGAGAGUUGCUAAAAAAAAUGGAUACGUAACCAUGUUGUAUCAUACAAAGUAACCACGUUUCACAUAUAGUCCGGCUUAGCAAACACCAUUGUUUUCUGAACAUAGCGUACAUGAGUUAACAGACAUGGAUUUAUUUCUAUUGCAAGUAGCAUAGCGUACAACCUGCCUGCACCGAUGCAGCUCAAUAUGCGAUAAUUUUUAUCUUCCCAUGUAAUUUUUCUACUCUAGUACAUAUUGAACUCCACAUUAAUGUCAUGUUCUUUCGCGCCCCAGAAGGUUCCUAAAGUUUGGAAACUUAAUAGAUAGCCAGAAUUUUUUUUAAAGAUAUUUAUAUGGAUACUUGUAUGUUCUUUCCAAACUAACAAUAUUGUUUACCAAUAUCAGAAGGAAUAUGGUUAGGAGCCAUUGCCGCAUAUGGCAGGUGAUGGUAGAUGGCGUAUGGGGUUUCGUUAAUUUAAUGGUAUAAUAAGCUGAAAUACAUUUUCUAUUUGCAAAUGAAUCAUAGCUGAAAUUGGUGGGAUUGUUUUUUCGCCGGUUUAGCAUCCUGUGCACCAGUUCAACCGGAGGGAAGCUGUUUUUUUUCUUUGGUUUUCCACCGGUUCACCGAGACCGAUGACAAUUUUAUGGCAGAAUCAUUACUUGUUUUACUAUUAGGUGAAGAUUUUAGCGUUUAGGUAUCUCACAUUAAACGCAACUUCAACAAUCUAUUUCUAGUGUAUAAUGUAGGAGACCCCGUAAAGAGUCUACACACACAUAUAUGUUGACUAUGAAUGUAAGUUUGUUGGUUUUAUGUAUGUUCGUUUGGAGUUUAUAUAAAUUUUACAUUUUAUAGUUUUGUGUAUAUGACGAAGAUCCAUGACUUGCAUUAAUUUAGCCUUUCUUCCAACAACUCUUAUGCAUGCUGUUUCUAGGCGAGCGUACUGGUUGCAAUUUUGGUCCCCGAUAUAGUGUGAGGACUUAAGGGACACGUGCAGGUCGUAACCUUAGAUAUUUUUGCUGAGAAUGGAUGAAGAAGCAAUAAUAUACUUUGCUUCUGAUUUUCUCCAUGUCAUUUGCUUACUCUUAUCCCUUUUAUUUAUCAUUAUAAGAUGAAAAUAUUGUAAAAACUUGGCUACGUGCGGUCGCAGAAGCUAGAGACUAAAGCGUCCCCCACGAGUUACUAUAUAAAAGGAUUGCAUCCUCUACUCAGUCAUAUGUACUGUGUAGGUGAGAUGGUAAGGAAGCUAUGUGUGAGGCUUGAGGUUGUAGGUUCGAAUCCCACGCACCGCGUGCGCAUGCGCAUAUUUUGCGUGAAAAAUCGCAUGACUUGUGGUCGGCCAAGGAGAAGUGCGUGCGGCUGAGGCACGCCGCCAUAGACAUCUCGGAUUUGCUCCAAGACUACCAAGACACUAGCGAACCCUUAACGGCAAAGUUGAGUACUUACGCGUGUUAGCAUCUAUGUUGUCCAUGCUUCCAAUGCAAUAACAAGAAGGGCUACUCAUCCUAGCGGAUUCUUCACAACCACUCGUAAAGCUAUGCGUUUCUCAAUGCAAUUUCGUAGAUGUCAAUCGAUCCAACCAAGCGACUGAAUCAUUCGUCCUUGCUAAUGAUGUGCAUCAGGUUUUCUAUAUGAAGAACAUGUCUAGCAAAUCCAAGAUUUCAGAAGAAAAAUAAAAAUCAUGAGAACCAAAGCACCACGUAGUUCUUCCAGGUAAAAAAAACAAUCAUCCACUGGGAUGACACACAGUAGCGAUCCAAAACGUCCAUAUUAAGACUUUUUGAUAGCAGAAAAAACAUGAAAAUGUCUAAUAUUUGUAGUAUUAAAAGGAAAAAUAAUAUAUUCACUUGACCUUUUUUUCGUAGCAACGCACCGGUGCGUAGUCAGACUUAGGCCACGUUUGGAUACUCCCUACUAAAGUUUAGCACCUGUCACAUAGGAUGUUUGGAUACUAAUUAGGAGUAUUAAACAUAGGCUAAUUAUAAAACUAAUUGAAUAGAUGGAGUCUAAUUUGCGAGACGAAUCUAUUAAGCCUAACUAGUCCAUGAUUUGACAAUGUGGUGCUACAGUAACCAUUUGCUAAUGGUGGAUUAAUUAGGCUUAAUAGAUUCGUCUCGCGAAUUAACAUAGGGUUCUGCAAUUAAUUUUAUAAUUAGCUCAUGUCUAGUCCUUCUAAUUAGCAUCCGAACAUCUGAUAUGAUACUGCUAAAGUUUAUCACCUAGUAUCCAAAUACCCCCUUAAUGCACGAUGCCUGUGCAUCCACUGGGCCUACCCUCGUGGAUCACGCGCUCGUGGAUCACGCGCACCAUGACAUGGCUCAUUAGCUAGUCGUGCUAAUCCUUACCACCAAAUUAAAAACUAGCAUGUGUUGUGUGUUUGUGACCCUAAACGACUACCACCUUCCCGAGUCCACCGGAGUUGCCAGUUCACCACUAAGCUGACUCUCCGAGCUUCAUGUCACUGUCACCGCUCCAAAGACCUAGAUCGGUUCGCUGUGCACCCCGCUUCGUCCUGAGCUAAAUCCCAUCACGAAAGGUGACCGGAUGCUCGUUUUCGAGCGAAUUCUAGCGAGAUUGCCACCACCUUUCCCCUUCCAGCCGAUCGCAGCUGUCUGAUCACAAACCGACAGCCCAGAUCGGAUUUGACCAGGUCAAUACCGGUCAAGCCGAGAUGCAUGCUGCUUUUGCAAGAAGGCCCCUAUUUUUCUCUCGUUUUGCACUUGAGGUCCUACGCAGUUCAAAAGUAAUUAGAUCUAGAUCCUUUUUCUUCUGUUUUAGCCCUGUUCUUUUAUAAAAUCCCACCCGCCAUCCUGUUUGGUAUUUUGACAUGUUAGACCUUCUAUUUAUAUGUUUAAUUAGGUUUUAGCCCUUGGUUUCUUUAAGUUUAGCUCUUGGAAGUUUAGUUUUCUCGCAGUUAAGCCCCUGAACCUUGUUUAGUUCAUAUCUUUAGCGUUUUAAAUCCGUUUUAAGAGAUUCUUACGCCCAUAAGUUCGUGUUGAUGCAUAGAUUAGUUGACUUAUACGGACCUUGCUGAUUCAGCUCCUUCAUUGUGCUUCAGAUCUCGCUAGUGAAGAAUAAUGGAUGGGCUUUGGUUGAGCUUGUAGAUCGACCUGCAGUUGCAGUGAAUGUGCUGAGGACUGGCGGUACCAAUAAUGGGAGGCCGCUGCUCUGCUUGCUACCAAGGCCUGCGACGCUUGGACGCCAUUCAGAGUGCAUAAUUUCCAAGGAUCUCAAGGGCUCCACACCACGUUCCAAGUGUUUUUUCUUUGCCGAGUGUUUUUAGCUCGGCACUUGGCAAAGAGCUUGUUUGCCGAGUGUCCGAAAAAAACACUUGGCAAAGAGAAAACACUCGGCAAAUUUGAUGUUUCCCGUAGUGAUGUACUAUUCAAACUUGAACUGGGAUGCAGGCUUCAGUACCAAAGAGAGCUCUGGGCGCGGGUGAGCAGUGAGCUGGCCGGGCAGGGAGCUCCAAAGCGACAGCAACAAAGAGAGAAAUGCUAAGAGUAAGAACGACACACGAGGUCACUUCACAUAGAUAAUAGCAGUACGAACCAUACAAUAUCCUCUCUCAGUUUCACUCCGCCUCACACACGGCUAGCACACCAUGCAUGCCGAUUUCAUAUUAUUAAUAUUAUUUUUUGGAUGGUUGUUGAAACUAUAUAUAUAGUUAGUCCAAUCUCACGUUUCCGAUUAUAAAAAUCAACGUAAAGAGAUCGGUAGGGAGAGCCGGCAUAAUGAAGCCGACGCGUGUAAUAAGCACCAGAGCCGGCAUUUAUACAAACUGGUACGAAUAGUAAAAAACUAGAAUUUAUAAAUAAAAAAAUGAUUUGCACAUCUAUGCAAUAAUUAGGGGUUAGUGGCAGGUCUAGAGAGAUAUCUCAUCAUUAUAUCCGGUUUAACGAGGAUAAAAAAGAGUGUAUUUUCCACUCAUCAUGUUGUCUUUUCGCAGCGGUACCACUUUUCGUGUGUUGUAUCGGUCCCCUAAUACGGAGUCUCCGAGGCCCGAGAAAAUAAGGAAAGUGAUAGUAGCCCAGAAAUCGGCCAAGUUUCUUUCCCCUUUGGCUUUCCUACUAGGAUUCAGAAUCCUCUUUCGCAUGACAAUCUUAAUUAUCUCCCAUACUCCAAAACUCACAAAAACAUCAAGAGUCCGCUGAGAAUAAAUUUAAGUAAAAAACAUGCACACACAGAUAAUAAUAAUAAUCAUGUUUCCAUAAAAUUGCUAAGUCCAGAGAUAAUACAUAAACAUAGUAGACUGUUCAUGACACAUAUCACGGUGGACAGUGUUUGUGUCCUUAUUACAAGCAACGAGAGAUGCUCGUCACCAACACGCGCGCGCACAGAUGCACGACAUACAUAUAGUAGAGACCAACAGAUGGUCGUCCCAUAUGGUGAACAAUUUAUUGGAGAUAAAUAUUAACGUAACUUGGCCAUAGCUUGAAGCAUAGCAACAUAUGCCUAUGAGUGGCAUUCAUGCUAUCGUUUUAGGCUUGUCCAGCUCCUUCCAUCUUAGCAAGCACUUCCAUUUCUACCAUCUUAGCAGCAACUGUCAAAUUGAGAUACGGAAAUCCCAUUAGCGCAUGAGUUAAUUUUGCAGUGGAAAUAGAGUACAAGAUGUCUUCAUGAUGUAAGUAAUAUGCCUGAAGUUGUGAGAUGGGAAGUGAAGUCAACAAAUUACAUUAACGGAAAUGCAUGGAAGGCCACACAUACGUAUUAGUCCAUGAUAUGCUACAAAGCUUGUAUGUACAUAUAGCAAAUUAAAUGCAUUAAUUGAAUAGAGUGUGUUUAGUGAAUUUACCAGAAUCGUCCAGAAAACAUGGGAAACAGCAAGUGUUCUUGCAGACUGCGUCGGAGGCACCCGCACGAAUACAAAGCUGACAACAUAGUUUUGCCUGGGCGGAUGCGCAGCAGCCGCACUCCGCCGCGGUGGGGUUAACAUUGAGGCUCAAGAUGACCAGGCACAUGAUCACCAUCAAAGUGGUAGUCCUCUUUCCCUCCAUUGCCUCCUCUUAGCUUGCUGCUACCUUCCUUGGUUACCUAGCUAAGUUUAUUGGUUUUGUGUUGAGAGGUGUGAUUCUUGAAUGGACGUUGCCGGCGGCAAUUUAUAGGCAGCUGAGCUAUGUGAUGAUAUGGACUAGGUGCAAAUGGGUGGUUAAUGGCAAGGAAAGGGGCGUCAGACAAAGCCCAAUGGCAACUGCUGACAUGCGAUUAAAUUCAGAUCCACAUCCGGCCAUUCAAUAAUACGGUUGGAGUUGUGGCACAGAUAUAUUAUUGCAUGAUCAUCAAGAUAAGAUCGUACAGUGACUGAGUGAGACAAUAAAUAGCCAAGUAAACUAUUUUAUCCUGCUGCAAGCUGCAUUCAUAAGUUUAUUUCACCUUUGAUCACAAUACUCUUCACACACGUACGUCUCAGGGAGAUCUCACUUCCGCUGGACUGCUCACUUCCGCUGUCGUCGGUACUGCCAAAGACAUAAGCUCACAUCUGCUAUUGCGGAGCAGGCCAAUUUGCUGCGGAACUUCGGCGACGACCUGAAGGACAUGAACUCGGUGCUGGAGUCCAUCUCAGCAGCGCUCUAGGACGCUGACACCGGUAGAAAAACGACCUUCCAUCGUCAACAAAAAUCCCGGUAGCUUUUUUACUCGGUACUAAAGAGGUUUUAAUCUCGUGCAAACACCUUUAGUCCAGAUUGCUAUUACCACGCAACCCGGACUAAAGCGUCCCCCGCGAGUUAGUAUAUAAGGAUUGCAUCCUUUACUCAGUCAGAUAUAAUAUGUAGGUGAGAUGGUAAGGAAGCUAUGCGUGAGGCUUCAGGUUGUGGGUUCGAAUCCAAGUGGGUGCAGCUGUGGCUUAAGCGGCUGAGGCACGCCGCCAUAGACAUCUCAGAUUUGCUCGAAGACUACCAAGACACUAGUGAACCCUUAACAGUAAAGGUGAGUACUUAUGAAUGUCAGCAUCCAUGUUGUCCAUGCUUCCAAUGUAAUAACAAGAUGGACUACUCUUCCUAGCGGACUCUUCACAACCACUCGUAAAGCUAUGCGUUUCUCAAUGCAAUUUCGUAGAAGCCAAUCGAUCCAACCAAGUGACUAAAUCAUUCGUCCUUUCCAAUGAUGUGCAUCAGGUUUUCUAUAUGAAGGGCAUGUCUAGCAAACCUAAGAUUUCAGAAGAAAAAGAAAAAUCAUUGGAGCCAAAGAGCCACAUAGUUCUUCUAGGAAAAAAAUCAUGGGAGUCGAGAACAUAUCAAACCAAUCAGGGGAUUAUGGUCAGCUUAAUGGCAUGCCUCCAUUCGAUGUCGAAGUUCACCCAAGCAUCAUGUUAGCCAAACAUCAAAUGUUCGUGCGUUGUUACGGUAAAGAUCAAUUGUGUUUUUUAAACUCUUGGAAUUUUUUUAUCUAAGUUUUUAUUUACACUUAUUGGAUGUCUACACAUUUGCUAGAAAACUAAAAUAAUUUGGACUUAAUUAUUUCUUUCAACUGAAGUACUCACUAAAUUUCUACCUUUUUAUUUAAGCAAGAGAGUUGCUAAAAAAAAUGGAUACGUAACCAUGUUGUAUCAUACAAAGUAACCACGUUUCACAUAUAGUCCGGCUUAGCAAACACCAUUGUUUUCUGAACAUAGCGUACAUGAGUUAACAGACAUGGAUUUAUUUCUAUUGCAAGUAGCAUAGCGUACAACCUGCCUGCACCGAUGCAGCUCAAUAUGCGAUAAUUUUUAUCUUCCCAUGUAAUUUUUCUACUCUAGUACAUAUUGAACUCCACAUUAAUGUCAUGUUCUUUCGCGCCCCAGAAGGUUCCUAAAGUUUGGAAACUUAAUAGAUAGCCAGAAUUUUUUUUAAAGAUAUUUAUAUGGAUACUUGUAUGUUCUUUCCAAACUAACAAUAUUGUUUACCAAUAUCAGAAGGAAUAUGGUUAGGAGCCAUUGCCGCAUAUGGCAGGUGAUGGUAGAUGGCGUAUGGGGUUUCGUUAAUUUAAUGGUAUAAUAAGCUGAAAUACAUUUUCUAUUUGCAAAUGAAUCAUAGCUGAAAUUGGUGGGAUUGUUUUUUCGCCGGUUUAGCAUCCUGUGCACCAGUUCAACCGGAGGGAAGCUGUUUUUUUUCUUUGGUUUUCCACCGGUUCACCGAGACCGAUGACAAUUUUAUGGCAGAAUCAUUACUUGUUUUACUAUUAGGUGAAGAUUUUAGCGUUUAGGUAUCUCACAUUAAACGCAACUUCAACAAUCUAUUUCUAGUGUAUAAUGUAGGAGACCCCGUAAAGAGUCUACACACACAUAUAUGUUGACUAUGAAUGUAAGUUUGUUGGUUUUAUGUAUGUUCGUUUGGAGUUUAUAUAAAUUUUACAUUUUAUAGUUUUGUGUAUAUGACGAAGAUCCAUGACUUGCAUUAAUUUAGCCUUUCUUCCAACAACUCUUAUGCAUGAUGUUUCUAGGCGAGCGUACUGGUUGCAAUUUUGGUCCCCGAUAUAGUGUGAGGACUUAAGGGACACGUGCAGGUCGUAACCUUAGAUAUUUUUGCUGAGAAUGGAUGAAGAAGCAAUAAUAUACUUUGCUUCUGAUUUUCUCCAUGUCAUUUGCUUACUCUUAUCCCUUUUAUUUAUCAUUAUAAGAUGAAAAUAUUGUAAAAACUUGGCUACGUGCGGUCGCAGAAGCUAGAGACUAAAGCGUCCCCCACGAGUUACUAUAUAAAAGGAUUGCAUCCUCUACUCAGUCAUAUGUACUGUGUAGGUGAGAUGGUAAGGAAGCUAUGUGUGAGGCUUGAGGUUGUAGGUUCGAAUCCCACGCACCGCGUGCGCAUGCGCAUAUUUUGCGUGAAAAAUCGCAUGACUUGUGGUCGGCCAAGGAGAAGUGCGUGCGGCUGAGGCACGCCGCCAUAGACAUCUCGGAUUUGCUCCAAGACUACCAAGACACUAGCGAACCCUUAACGGCAAAGUUGAGUACUUACGCGUGUUAGCAUCUAUGUUGUCCAUGCUUCCAAUGCAAUAACAAGAAGGGCUACUCAUCCUAGCGGAUUCUUCACAACCACUCGUAAAGCUAUGCGUUUCUCAAUGCAAUUUCGUAGAUGUCAAUCGAUCCAACCAAGCGACUGAAUCAUUCGUCCUUGCUAAUGAUGUGCAUCAGGUUUUCUAUAUGAAGAACAUGUCUAGCAAAUCCAAGAUUUCAGAAGAAAAAUAAAAAUCAUGAGAACCAAAGCACCACGUAGUUCUUCCAGGUAAAAAAAACAAUCAUCCACUGGGAUGACACACAGUAGCGAUCCAAAACGUCCAUAUUAAGACUUUUUGAUAGCAGAAAAAACAUGAAAAUGUCUAAUAUUUGUAGUAUUAAAAGGAAAAAUAAUAUAUUCACUUGACCUUUUUUUCGUAGCAACGCACCGGUGCGUAGUCAGACUUAGGCCACGUUUGGAUACUCCCUACUAAAGUUUAGCACCUGUCACAUAGGAUGUUUGGAUACUAAUUAGGAGUAUUAAACAUAGGCUAAUUAUAAAACUAAUUGAACAGAUGGAGUCUAAUUUGCGAGACGAAUCUAUUAAGCCUAACUAGUCCAUGAUUUGACAAUGUGGUGCUACAGUAACCAUUUGCUAAUGGUGGAUUAAUUAGGCUUAAUAGAUUCGUCUCGCGAAUUAACAUAGGGUUCUGCAAUUAAUUUUAUAAUUAGCUCAUGUCUAGUCCUUCUAAUUAGCAUCCGAACAUCUGAUAUGAUACUGCUAAAGUUUAUCACCUAGUAUCCAAAUACCCCCUUAAUGCACGAUGCCUGUGCAUCCACUGGGCCUACCCUCGUGGAUCACGCGCUCGUGGAUCACGCGCACCAUGACAUGGCUCAUUAGCUAGUCGUGCUAAUCCUUACCACCAAAUUAAAAACUAGCAUGUGUUGUGUGUUUGUGACCCUAAACGACUACCACCUUCCCGAGUCCACCGGAGUUGCCAGUUCACCACUAAGCUGACUCUCCGAGCUUCAUGUCACUGUCACCGCUCCAAAGACCUAGAUCGGUUCGCUGUGCACCCCGCUUCGUCCUGAGCUAAAUCCCAUCACGAAAGGUGACCGGAUGCUCGUUUUCGAGCGAAUUCUAGCGAGAUUGCCACCACCUUUCCCCUUCCAGCCGAUCGCAGCUGUCUGAUCACAAACCGACAGCCCAGAUCGGAUUUGACCAGGUCAAUACCGGUCAAGCCGAGAUGCAUGCUGCUUUUGCAAGAAGGCCCCUAUUUUUCUCUCUUUUUGCACUUGAGGUCCUACGCAGUUCAAAAGUAAUUAGAUCUAGAUCCUUUUUCUUCUGUUUUAGCCCUGUUCUUUUAUAAAAUCCCACCCGCCAUCCUGUUUGGUAUUUUGACAUGUUAGACCUUCUAUUUAUAUGUUUAAUUAGGUUUUAGCCCUUGGUUUCUUUAAGUUUAGCUCUUGGAAGUUUAGUUUUCUCGCAGUUAAGCCCCUGAACCUUGUUUAGUUCAUAUCUUUAGCGUUUUAAAUCCGUUUUAAGAGAUUCUUACGCCCAUAAGUUCGUGUUGAUGCAUAGAUUAGUUGACUUAUACGGACCUUGCUGAUUCAGCUCCUUCAUUGUGCUUCAGAUCUCGCUAGUGAAGAAUAAUGGAUGGGCUUUGGUUGAGCUUGUAGAUCGACCUGCAGUUGCAGUGAAUGUGCUGAGGACUGGCGGUACCAAUAAUGGGAGGCCGCUGCUCUGCUUGCUACCAAGGCCUGCGACGCUUGGACGCCAUUCAGAGUGCAUAAUUUCCAAGGAUCUCAAGGGCUCCACACCACGUUCCAAGUGUUUUUUCUUUGCCGAGUGUUUUUAGCUCGGCACUUGGCAAAGAGCUUGUUUGCCGAGUGUCCGAAAAAAACACUUGGCAAAGAGAAAACACUCGGCAAAUUUGAUGUUUCCCGUAGUGAUGUACUAUUCAAACUUGAACUGGGAUGCAGGCUUCAGUACCAAAGAGAGCUCUGGGCGCGGGUGAGCAGUGAGCUGGCCGGGCAGGGAGCUCCAAAGCGACAGCAACAAAGAGAGAAAUGCUAAGAGUAAGAACGACACACGAGGUCACUUCACAUAGAUAAUAGCAGUACGAACCAUACAAUAUCCUCUCUCAGUUUCACUCCGCCUCACACACGGCUAGCACACCAUGCAUGCCGAUUUCAUAUUAUUAAUAUUAUUUUUUGGAUGGUUGUUGAAACUAUAUAUAUAGUUAGUCCAAUCUCACGUUUCCGAUUAUAAAAAUCAACGUAAAGAGAUCGGUAGGGAGAGCCGGCAUAAUGAAGCCGACGCGUGUAAUAAGCACCAGAGCCGGCAUUUAUACAAACUGGUACGAAUAGUAAAAAACUAGAAUUUAUAAAUAAAAAAAUGAUUUGCACAUCUAUGCAAUAAUUAGGGGUUAGUGGCAGGUCUAGAGAGAUAUCUCAUCAUUAUAUCCGGUUUAACGAGGAUAAAAAAGAGUGUAUUUUCCACUCAUCAUGUUGUCUUUUCGCAGCGGUACCACUUUUCGUGUGUUGUAUCGGUCCCCUAAUACGGAGUCUCCGAGGCCCGAGAAAAUAAGGAAAGUGAUAGUAGCCCAGAAAUCGGCCAAGUUUCUUUCCCCUUUGGCUUUCCUACUAGGAUUCAGAAUCCUCUUUCGCAUGACAAUCUUAAUUAUCUCCCAUACUCCAAAACUCACAAAAACAUCAAGAGUCCGCUGAGAAUAAAUUUAAGUAAAAAACAUGCACACACAGAUAAUAAUAAUAAUCAUGUUUCCAUAAAAUUGCUAAGUCCAGAGAUAAUACAUAAACAUAGUAGACUGUUCAUGACACAUAUCACGGUGGACAGUGUUUGUGUCCUUAUUACAAGCAACGAGAGAUGCUCGUCACCAACACGCGCGCGCACAGAUGCACGACAUACAUAUAGUAGAGACCAACAGAUGGUCGUCCCAUAUGGUGAACAAUUUAUUGGAGAUAAAUAUUAACGUAACUUGGCCAUAGCUUGAAGCAUAGCAACAUAUGCCUAUGAGUGGCAUUCAUGCUAUCGUUUUAGGCUUGUCCAGCUCCUUCCAUCUUAGCAAGCACUUCCAUUUCUACCAUCUUAGCAGCAACUGUCAAAUUGAGAUACGGAAAUCCCAUUAGCGCAUGAGUUAAUUUUGCAGUGGAAAUAGAGUACAAGAUGUCUUCAUGAUGUAAGUAAUAUGCCUGAAGUUGUGAGAUGGGAAGUGAAGUCAACAAAUUACAUUAACGGAAAUGCAUGGAAGGCCACACAUACGUAUUAGUCCAUGAUAUGCUACAAAGCUUGUAUGUACAUAUAGCAAAUUAAAUGCAUUAAUUGAAUAGAGUGUGUUUAGUGAAUUUACCAGAAUCGUCCAGAAAACAUGGGAAACAGCAAGUGUUCUUGCAGACUGCGUCGGAGGCACCCGCACGAAUACAAAGCUGACAACAUAGUUUUGCCUGGGCGGAUGCGCAGCAGCCGCACUCCGCCGCGGUGGGGUUAACAUUGAGGCUCAAGAUGACCAGGCACAUGAUCACCAUCAAAGUGGUAGUCCUCUUUCCCUCCAUUGCCUCCUCUUAGCUUGCUGCUACCUUCCUUGGUUACCUAGCUAAGUUUAUUGGUUUUGUGUUGAGAGGUGUGAUUCUUGAAUGGACGUUGCCGGCGGCAAUUUAUAGGCAGCUGAGCUAUGUGAUGAUAUGGACUAGGUGCAAAUGGGUGGUUAAUGGCAAGGAAAGGGGCGUCAGACAAAGCCCAAUGGCAACUGCUGACAUGCGAUUAAAUUCAGAUCCACAUCCGGCCAUUCAAUAAUACGGUUGGAGUUGUGGCACAGAUAUAUUAUUGCAUGAUCAUCAAGAUAAGAUCGUACAGUGACUGAGUGAGACAAUAAAUAGCCAAGUAAACUAUUUUAUCCUGCUGCAAGCUGCAUUCAUAAGUUUAUUUCACCUUUGAUCACAAUACUCUUCACACACGUACGUCUCAGGGAGAUCUCACUUCCGCUGGACUGCUCACUUCCGCUGUCGUCGGUACUGCCAAAGACAUAAGCUCACAUCUGCUAUUGCGGAGCAGGCCAAUUUGCUGCGGAACUUCGGCGACGACCUGAAGGACAUGAACUCGGUGCUGGAGUCCAUCUCAGCAGCGCUCUAGGACGCUGACACCGGUAGAAAAACGACCUUCCAUCGUCAACAAAAAUCCCGGUAGCUUUUUUACUCGGUACUAAAGAGGUUUUAAUCUCGUGCAAACACCUUUAGUCCGGAUUGCUGUUACCACGCAACCCGAACUAAAGCGUCCCCCACGAGUUACUAUAUAAGGAUUGCAUCCUUUACUCAGUCAGAUAUAAUGUGUAGGUGAGAUGGUAAGGAAGCUAUACGUGAGGCUUCAGGUUGUGGGUUCGAAUCCAAGGAGAAGUGGGUGCAGCUGUGGCUUAAGCGGCUGAGGCACGCCGCCAUAGACAUCUCAGAUUUGCUCGAAGACUACCAAGACACUAGUGAACCCUUAACAGUAAAGGUGAGUACUUAUGAAUGUCAGCAUCCAUGUUGUCCAUGCUUCCAAUGUAAUAACAAGAUGGACUACUCUUCCUAGCGGACUCUUCACAACCACUCGUAAAGCUAUACGUUUCUCAAUGCAAUUUCGUAGAAGCCAAUCGAUCCAACCAAGUGACUAAAUCAUUCAUCCUUUCCAAUGAUGUGCAUCAGGUUUUCUACAUGAAGGGCAUCUCUAGCAAACCCAAGAUUUCAGAAGAAAAAGAAAAAUCAUUGGAGCCAAAGAGCCACAUAGUUCUUCCAGGAAAAAAAAAUCAUGGGAGUCGAGAACAAAUCAAACCAAUCAGAGGAUUAUGGUCAGCUUAAUGGCAUGCCUCCAUUCGAUGUCGAAGUUCACCCAAGCAUCAUGUUAGCCAAACAUCAAAUGUUCGUGCGUUGUUACGGUAAAGAUCAAUUGUGUUUUUUAAACUCAUGGAAUUUUUUUUCUAAGUUUUUAUUACACUUAUUGGAUGUCUACACAUUUGCUAGAAAACCAAAAUAAUUUGGACUUAAUUAUUUCUUUCAACUGAAGUACUCACUAAAUUUCUACCUUUUUAUUUAAGCAAGAGAGUUGCUAAAAAAAAUGGAUACAUAACCAUGUUGUAUCGUACAAAGCAACCACAUUUCACAUAUAGUCCGGCUUACCAAACACCAUUUUUUACUGAACAUAGCGUACAUGAGUUAAGAGACAUGGAUUUAUUUCUAUUGCAAGUAGCAUAGCGUACAACCUGCCUGCACCGAUGCAGCUCAAUAUGCGAUAAUUUUUAUCUUCCCAUGUAAUUUUUCUACUCUAGUACAUAUUGAACUCCACAUUAAUGUCAUGUUCUUUGGCGCCCCAGACGGUUCCUAAAGUUUGGAAACAAAAUAGAUAGCCAGAAAUUUUUUUAAAAAAUAUUUAUAUGGAUAUUUGUAUGUUCUUUGCAAACUAACAAUAUUGUUUACCAAUAUCAAAAGGAAUAUGGCUAGGAGCCAUUGCCGCAUAUGGCAGGUGAUGGUAGAUGGCGUAUGGGAUUUCGUUAAUUUAAUGGUAUAAUAAGCUGAAAUACAUUUUCUAUUUGCAAAUGAAUCAUAGCUGAAAGUGGUGAGAUUGUUUUUUCGCCGGUUUAGCAUCCUGUGCACCGGUUCAACUGGAGGGAAGCGGUUCACCGAGACGGAUGACAAUUUUACGGCAGAAUCAUUACUUGUUUUAUUAUUAGGUGAAGAUUUUAGCUUUUAGGUAUCUCACAUUAACAAUCUGUUUCUAGUGUAUAAUGUAGGAGACCCGUAAAGAGUCUACACACACAUAUAUAUGUUGACUAUGAAUGUAAGUUUGUUGGUUUUAUGUAUGUUCAUUUGGAGUUUAUAUAAAUUUUACAUUUUAUAGUUUUGUGUAUAUGACGAAGAUCCAUGACUUGCAUUAAUUUAACCUUUCUUCCAACAACUCUUAUGCAUGCUGUUUCUAGGGGAGCGCACUGGUUGCAAUUUUGGUCCCCGAUAUAGCAUGAGGACUUAAGGGAGACGGGCACGUCGUAACCUUAGAUAUUUUUGCAAGAAGCAAAUUAUACUUUGCUUUUGAUUUUCUCCAUGCCAUUUGCUGACUCUUAUCCCUUUUAUUUAUCAUUAUAAGAUGAAAAUAUUGUAAAAACUUGGUUACGUGCGGUCGCAGAAGCUAGAGACUAUUUCUUUUUUUAAAAAUACGCAAGAGGGAGAAACUUGGUAACAGCUAGACAGUGAAGAUCGCAUUUCAUAAGAAAGAUGGUGCACGUUCUUGUUUGGCUGUUAACGAAAUGACUUCGUUUCACCACACCACCAGAGAGCCCCAUUGCACUUGCAGCAAAAGCGUGGAGCCGCUUUCAACCAGCGUGCAAUAAUGCAGUCCCGCGUGUCUUGGUCUUACAGGAUAUUUGGUUCUUUAGUCCGGACUAAAAUUCAUGUCGCAUAGAAUAUUCAGAUGUUAAAUAGGAGGACUAAACAUGAGCUAAUUAUAAAAAUAAUUACACAAAUGGAGGCUAAUUCCCAAGACAAAUCUAUUAAGUCUAAUUAAUCCAUCAUUAGCACAUGUUUACCGUAGCACCGUAUUGUCAAAUCAUGGACUAAUUAGGCUUAAUAAAUUCGUCUCGCAAGUUAGUCUCCAUCUAUACAAUUUGUUUUAUAAUUAGUCAAUGUUUAAUACUCUAUCUAAACAUUCAAUGUGACUGAAAUUUUAGGAGGUCCUAAAGAACCAAACACCCCUUAGUCUCCGCCUGAACUAUAGCAGGUGCUGGCAGCGGUAGCAGGGUCGUCCAUUAUAUCUAUGGAUGGAAAUGAUCUGAUUCGGAUGGAAUCGAAUUCGAAUAGCACUUUUUACCACAUACUAAUCUGAAUUGGAUGUUCUCGAAUGUGAAUGCAAAACGGAUAGUUCAAAUUUGAAUACUUUGCGGAUUUUUGCAUAAUAUUAAUCGAAGAGAAUUUGUUAAAUUUAGCCGAGACAUAAAUUUUUCUAAAUUCAAAUACUUUGCAGAUUUUCGAAUGCAAAUUUUUUCAUACGAUCUCGGUUGAAUACAAACUUUAUAUCAAAGUUGUAUAUUUAGAUUAUAUAUAAAACUUUGUAGUUGACCUCCUUUUCAUUUAAAAUUUUUUAAUAGCUCAAAACAUUAUUCUAAGCUUUCUAAUUUCAAAAUCUUGAAUUUUAAAUUUUUCAAACGACCUCGGAUGCAAACAAGCUCUAUAUCAAAGUGCUUAAUGAGAUAUAAAAUUUUGUAGUUGACAAGUUUUUUAGUUGAAAACAUUUAGUUAUCACAAACAUACAAGUUCUUCAUUUGAUGUCGAGGAUUGGAAGUGUUGAGUUUGAAGAAUAUAUUCUUUGAUUACAAACUUUUCCAUAUGAUCUUGGAUGAAUACGAACUUUAUUUCAAAGUUGCAAAUUUAGAUUAGACCAAAAACAGUAUAGUUUACAAUUUUUUCAUUCAAAAUUAUUUAGUAGCUCAAAAUGUUAUUCUAAACUCUCUAAUUUUGAAAUCUUGAAUUUUAAAAUUUUCAAAUGACCUCGGAUGCAAACAAGCUCUAUAUCGAAGUGGUAGUUCUUAAUGAGAUAUAAAAUUUUGUAGUUCCAUCUGAGAUCAUUUAACAGUCACAAAUAUACAAGUUUUUCAUAUGAUGCUAAGGAUCAGAAAGAUUAAGUUUGAAGGCUGUAUUUUUUUAAUACAAAUUUUUGCAUACGAUCUCGGAUGAAUACAAACUUUAUAUCAAAAUUGUAGAGCUCGAUGAGAAUUUAAACUUUGUAGUUGAUAUAUUUUUCAUUCGAGAAUGUUUAGUGGUCCAAACAUGUAUUAUAAGUUCAGAGAAGAAACACACAAUCGGCCACGUCAUCAAUUGACAACUUCCAAACUGAGCAUUCCUAUUGGUUCACACCUUUCCCUUUCAACUCGUCAAGCUUAUCUCCUCCCACUCCUCCAUCGUUCACUCCCCCUUCCCCUUCCUCUCUCCCUCCCUCCCUCCGCUCCAGCAGUGGCAGCCCGACCUGCCUCCUAGGACGGUGGUGUGCGGGGCUCGGGCAUCCCUGGCCUCUAGUGGCGUGGCAGGGCGGCCUCCAGCAGCGAUGGCGGAACUCGGCCUCCGGUGGCGCACAGGCAGCGCAGCCUACCUGGUCAAAGGCGGCGCAACAGGGCGACCUCCCCAGCCUCCGGCGGCGCGCAGGGCAUCCAUGACCUCCCCGGCCUCCCUUGCCAGAGGUGGUGCGCGGGGCUGCGCCGACCUCCCCAACCAGAGGUGGCAAGGCCCCAGCUUACGGCGGCGCGUGGCUCCCCAGCUAGGGUGUGGUGGGGCGGCGGCAAGUCAGGCGUGGCCGCGUGGGGGUGGGGGGAGGGGGUUGGGCUGGGCGGAUUCAGAUAGUAUCCAUUUAACCAUCCGAAAUGUGGAUAUCCGUUUAACAAUCCGUUUAGCAAAACCGAAUUUGGAUACUUCCACUUAAGUAUCCAACUAGGAUUCGAAUGCGGAUGGUCCUACCAUAUUGUUAUUUCAGCGGAUACGAAUAUGGGAUAAUUCGAAUAACGACUUACCCAUCCCUGAUUAUAUCCGUGUAAAUAAAUAAUUGCGGCAGCAGGUUCCCGUCGCCACGCCCCCGUCAAACCAAACAAUUGCUUGCGCGACACCGUGUUACUAGAUCUUGUACAGUACUCCCUCCGUUGCAGUACUCCCUAAUGAAAGUUGAGAAUCGAUCGACAACCACGGCUAGUUGCUAUGCACUCGAUCAGAUGGUCCAGGCGCCCGCUGGUAAUCAGGUCGUGGUUCACGCGCAUCAGGCCAGCUAUGACGUUGCCAGCAGUGCUCAGUACACAAAUCUAGCUAUCAGUCGGAUCCAAUUGGGCAGGCAUUUGCACUGUGGUUGUGUUUGAACCUGUAGAUGUCGUUGUCAUUAUCAGGCACCAUACAUCCUCUCUCAGAGGGUGUUUCACCCCCUAAACUUUAGCCCCUCUCACAUCGAAUGUUUUAGAUACUAAUUAGGAAUAUUAAACAUAGAAAAUUUACUAAACCCAUUACAUGGAUGGAGGGUAAACGGCGAGACAAAUCUAUUAAAUCUAAUUAGUCCAUGAUUUGACAAUGUGCUGCUAUAGUAACUAUUUGCUAAUGAUGGAUUAAUUAGACUUAAUAGAUUUUUCUUGCUGUUUAGCCUCCGUCUGUGCAAUUAGUUUUAUAAUUAAUUCAUAUUUAGUCCUCCUAAUUAGUCUCCGAAUAUUUGAUGUGACACGGACUAAACUUUAGAUAGCACACCAGGGACCGACACCAUGCAUGCUGAUUUCAUAUCAUAAUUAAGGAAAGUGAUAUCAUAAUUAAGGAAAGUGGUAGCAUCCAAGAAAUCGAUCAUGUUUCUUCCCCCUUUGGCUUUCCUACUAGGAUUUGGAUAGCGGGCCUUCCUACUAGGAUUUGGAAUCCGCUAUCGCAUGACUAUCUUAAUUAUGUCCCAUAGUCCAAAACUCACAAAACAUCAAAAAUCCAUCGAGAAUAAAUUAAGUAAAAAACAUGCGCACACAGAUAAUAAUAAUAAUAAUCAUGUUUCAAUAAAAUUGCUAAGAUUAGAGAUAGUACAUAAACAUAUUAGAUUGUUCGUGACACAUAUCAUGGUGGAUAGUGUCUGUGUCCUUAUUACAAGCAGCGAUAGAUGCUUGUCACCACACACACGCACGCACAGAUGCACGACAUACAUAUAGUUGAGACCAACGGAUGGACGUCCCAUAGGGUGAAUAAUUUAUUGGAGAUAAAUAUUAACAUAACUUGGCCAUAGCUUGAAGCAUAGCAACAUAUGCUUAUGAAUGGCAUUCAUGCGGGUAGCAAUGCUAUCAUAUGCUUUUAGGCUUGUCCUUAGCUUCUUCCAUCUUAUAGCAAACACUGCCAUUUCUUCCAUCUUAGCAGCAACUGUCAAAUUAAUUGAGAUAUGGAAAUCCCAUUAGCGCAUGAGUUAAUUUUGCAGUGGAAAUAGAGUAGAAGAUGUCUUCAUAAUGUAAGUAAUAUGACUCUGACAUAGGGAGUGAAGUCAACAAAUUACAUUAACGGAAAUGCAUGGAAGGCCACGCAUAUGUAUUAGUCCGAUAUGCUACAAAGCUUGUAUGUACAUAUAAUAAAUUAAAUGCAUUGAAUAGAGUGAUUUUAGUGAAUUUACCUAAAUCGGAUUAAAAAACAUGGGAAACAACAAGUGUUCUUGUAGGGCUUUGUUUAGUUCCCAAAUUGGGAGUAGCAAAGUUUGCAUUUUACCAUAAAUGCGCAACUAUAGCAUGUAGCAUUUUGUUUGUAUUUGUGAAUUAUUAUCCAAACAUUGACUAAUUAGGCUCAAAAGAUUCAUCUCGCAAAGUACAACAAAACUGUGCAAUUAGUUUUUGAUUUCGUCUACAUUUAGUACUCCGUGCAUGUACCGCAAGUUUGAUGUGAUGGGGAAUCUUGCUUUUCAAUAGUGACAAAGUUGGGAUUUCGGGGGGAAGGCCUGUGUCGGAGCCACAUGCAAGAAUGGCUGACAUUGAGGCUCAGACAAAGCCCAAUGGCAACUGCUGACAUGCGAUUAAAUUUAGAUAUCCACAUCCAGCCAUUCACAUUUAUGAGAUAUGGACACGGUGCAAAUGGGUGGGGUCCUGAUAUGGAGGUGCGAAUGGCUGUCUACUUGUAUAGUGUAGCUCCAAUGUACGUAUAUGUAUCUUAUGCAUGUAUACAGUUGCACAAACUCUGAACCAACUCUUCAUAACAGGUCUUUGUUACCAAGUAACUUUACUUUUGCACGUUUCAGCCGAGAGGUAGAAGAGAAUAUUUUUGCAUUUUCCAUGUGCGUCAGUGGUAGAGAACUAGGAAUUAGUUCCGGAUGGUAGGGCACAAAUCUUCCAAACAACUAUCCGAAAUUAAGCAAUCGAGAUAAAGGGUGCCAUCUAUUCUCUCCGAAAAACACAGGUACCAAAAAGAAGAAGAGAAGAGGGAGGGCCUCCCGUUAAGGCCCGCUCGGGGUCUCCAUCCCACCACGCGCCCUCCCAACCCAAAGCCCAUCGUUUUCCCUCCGUCCCUCCCCUCUCCAUUGCCGCCGCCGCUCCCCUCAUCCGAGCUCGAUACGGGUGGUCGGCGGCCCCUCCUCUCCGCUCCCGCCCCCGGCCUCCCUUUGACCGCCGGGCGCCGGCAUCACUGCCGCGGCCAACCCCAGGGCGCAGCGCGUGCCUCUAUUUCUCUCCCCCGUUCAAGGGCCCUUUGAUGGCGACGAGCACCCACCCACCAGGUAUGCCCUCCCCUUCUCUUCCUAACCCUAAUAUAUUCGGAUCUCACCCAGUCACAAUAUAUUACCUAAUAGCUUCGAUUUUGUUUGCAAAAAUCAUCACGUGCGCACCCAUGUCCGCUAGAUUCUUGCGCCUGAUCCUGUGCUGCUAUGGUUUGGGCGGGGUAGACUAGUUGAUUCGUGCACUUUUGGGUGCUUGUAGUGCUAGGUUUUGGAGGGGGAUAGCCCAGUUGAUUCCUCCGUUUUGGGUGCUCAUGGUGAUAGGAUUUGGAUGGGGAUAGCCCCAAUGAUUCGUGCGCCUUUGGGUGCUGGGGAUAGUUUUGGGUGCCUGGAUAGUCCAGUUUCAAUGUCAGUAUAUGCGUAUUUUGGGGAGAAUUUUGUUUUGGGUGGUUCUGGUGCUAGAGUUUCUGAUGCUUAGUAGCCCAGUUUCAAUCAAAUUCCCCCAUGGGUCGUGCACUACGGGAAACAAGAAAAUUGCCGAGUGUAUUUUUUUUGUCGAGUGUUUUUUUUCGAGCACUCAGCAAACAAGCUCUUCGCCGAGUGCCAAGUCAAAAACACUCGGCAAAAAAAAACACUCGGCAAAUCGGGGCUUUGCCGAGUGUCAAAUAAAAAACACUCGGCAAAGAAGGGGGUUUGCCGAGUGUUAAAAAAAACACUCGGCAAACAGGAGGGUUUGCCUAGUGUUUUUUUGACACUCGGCAAAAAAAUAAUUGUUUUUCCUCUUUUCACCUUGAAAUUUUUUCUACUCCCCACAUACAACACGUGGUACUCCAUGUUAAAAUUUGGUAUAUUUUUGGAUUUAUUUGCUAUAUUUAUUUAAUUAAUUGCAUUACAAGGAAAUUUUUGGUAUAAGUCAAAUUUGAACUGCAAGUGAUUCAAAUUGUGGAACAAAAUGAGUAGAAAAAUGAUAUUCAUGUUAUUUGGCUCAAUUUGAGACCUGACCCAUGAAAUGAAAAGAAAUUUCGAACAUCUUGUUCAGGAAACACGACAAUGAACAUGUGGCGGUAGUAUUUUUAAAUUGUAAAAAAAACAAGCAAAGUCUGAAAAUCAUGAGAUUUGUAGUUAUGUGAUGAUAUAAUACGUGGAAGCUGUGGAAAAAAAUUGGAAAGGUUUUGCACAUUUCAUCAUGUACGAUGAUUACAAACCGAAGCAUAUCAGAAGAAGAAUAGUAACUUUGAGAAGGAUUCGAUAAAAUUUAGAGUCGAAGUGACGGUCGAGUUCGGUUUGACUACAAAACUUUUUGUAUAGUCAGUAGAGAACAUAUCUUAUUUCGUGUGAAAAUUUGGUAUUUUUUGAAACUGUUGGAUAUUUUUAAUUUUUUUUUAAAAAAACUUUGCCGAGUGUCCUAGGGUAGACACUCGGCAAAGAAAAACUUUACCGAGUGCCCGCCUAGGACACUCAGCGAACCUUUUUUUAAACCUACCGGCUCCGGCCGGCCCAGCCCACAAACACCACCCGCCCCCCGCCCCCGCGCCUUCUUCCUCACGCCGCCCCCGCCCCCCACCCGUGCCUCCGGACCGCCCCCUCCUCCCCCUGGCCUCCCCUCACGCCGCCCCCCUCCUCCCCUAGCUCCCUCCACCGGCGGCCCUCCCUCCCCCGGCGCACAUCCUCCACUCCUCCUCCCCUUCCCUUCCCUCCCCUCCCCUCCCCUCUUCCUCCCCUGGCCGGAUCUGGCGCCCCUAGCUCCCCUUUCUUCCGCGGCCAGAUCUGGCGCCCUCCCGGCGGCGGGUCGUGGCGAUCGGGGCGGCGGCGGCGGAUCAGGCCGCGGGGCGGCGGCGGCGGCGGGUCGUGGCUACCGGGGCGGCGCCCUGCCCCUCCCCUCCCUCUCCAUCUCCGGCUGCCGUCCACCCCCUCCCCGGAUCCGCCCCCCUCCCCUCCGCGCGGCCAGCCCCUCCUCCCUCUCCGGCCGCCGCCCCGGCCCCUCCUCUCCCUUUCUCCGGCCACCGCCCCGCCCAUCUUCUCUGGAUCCGGCCGGAUCCGGCCGCCGCACAGCCCCUCCUCCCCGGAUCCGGUGGGCGCGGACUUCGUGGUGGUGGCGCCGGAUCCCUCCCCUCCCUCUCCAGAUAACUCCCUCCACUCCUCCGCUCUUCCCCUCUCUCGCGCGGCGGCCUCUCUCCGGCCGCCGCCCCGCCCCUCUCCCCGGAUCCGGGGGGGGGGGGACUCCGCCCCUCUGCCCCGGAUCCAGCUCCCCGACCCGCGAGUGGGGCGAGCUUGCUCAUGCGGUCGACGUCGAGGCCAGGGUGUGGUGGAGGUGGUGGCCGGCGGGUGUGGUGGUGGUGGCGGCGGCGGGCAUGGCGGCGCGGAGGCAAGGCACGGCGGCCGGUGGGAGGCACGGGUGCAAGGCGUCGACGGCAGGAGGCAAGGCACGGCAGCAUGGGAGGUGGUGCUGUGGUGGUGGUGCUGGCGGUGGUGGCGGCGGCGGAGCAGGAUGUGGUGGUGGCGGAGGAUGUUUUUUUUUCAAAAAUUUGUUGCCGAGUGUUUUCUCGGCACUCGGCAAAGACUUUACCGAGUGCCCGACACAAAACACUCGGCAACUCAGUGUUUGCCGACUGAAAAAUUGCCGUGUGCCGUUUGCCGAGUGUUACACUCGGCAAACGGUUCGCCGAGGGUUUUUUGCCCUUCGCCGAGUGCCCCUAGCACUCGGCAAUUUCACUAUCUCCCGUAGUGGUGGCUGGACUUAUGGGGGGAUCAUUGAUGGGGGACUAGUUGGAUACUUUUUGGCUGUUUUGGGAGUCCUUGGCAGCGGCUUCUCAGGGCGUACGUAGCCCAUUGUAGAUUCCAGCCGAGAAGAUUAAGGAAUUGUGACUGCAACCAUGUUACUUUUCUAGGACUCUGUUUCUGAUAUUGUUCCCGCUGCAUCUUUUCAUCCCCAUGGUGAAUGUUGCUGUUGAUCUGUAGAUUGGAUUUGUUCCUCGGUAGCUUUAUUAGAUUUGUGCUGAAUGAUAAUCUCUGCCUGUGAUAUUUUUCUUCAUUGCGGAUGUGUGCCGAGUAUUAUCCCCUUUGUUCAUUCUGUUGGCUUUUUUUAUUGUCUCUGUACUCGGCUGUUCAGCUUGUGCAGCUAAUGAUCUAAUGUAUUUUGUCGUAACUAUGUAUUUUUCGGAUGUGUGCCGAGUAUUAUCCCCUUUGUUUAUUCUGUUGGCUUGCUUUCAUUGAUCUUAAGAUAACUGGUGCUAUAAAUUCACACUAGCUGAUGCACUUGCAAAUAGCUAUGUAAAUAUGAAAAGAAGUAUUUUUUUAUCCUUUUGUUUGUUUGGCAUCAUAUCUGUUUAAAUGGCAUAGCAAUAAGAAUUUUUUGUUUUUGGGGAAUCAUAUCUGCUUAAAUGGUAUAGAAAAUGCUGAGUGCACUGUCAAAUAGAUUUUCCAGCAGUCUGCUUUCAGUUGUUUUUGCAAAUCCUCACAGGCCAGUGAACUGACUUUGUUUUUACCACCCCAUGCCAUUUAAAUGACUAAAUCAGUCAGCCUAAUACUAUAUAUGGUCAUGCUAUGAUCUUAUUUCUUGAAGCUCUAUAGGUCAACCCAUAAGGGUAACUUAGUUUUUCCUAUUCUGGCUGGGGAAGUGGAUACGAUGGCUAUCCUUGGUAGAGUUAAAUACAUUGGCGGCUCUUAGCGCGCCAAUGUGGCACCACAAUAUCGAACAUAUGUAGAAACCCCCUUGUUUUUUCUCAUAUCCCUCUCUCUCAGCGUCCUCUUCUCUUCUUCUCCUCUGUCUCCUCCCCUCCCAUCGCGUGCUUUAUUGCGCCGCCGCCAUCCGCCUCCAUGUAUGAACACGUCGUUUGUCAUGAAGAAGCAGUUGAUGAGGCAAUCAAGCAUGUGGUGCACAAGGUUCUUCUGCUGGCCAAGUCCGAGUCGAACAGCCGCGCAUUCAUUGGGGAAGCACGCGCCAGGCAUCACCAGGCUCCUCGUGCCCCUACUCUGCUCCAAGGACUCGGUGCUUCGACGCGCUGCUUUCCCUGUCCGGCGAGCGGGGAUCGUUGGGAGAUGAUCGAUGGAGGAUGGAGCUGAUCCUCCUGUACACGGUGCCGGUGGGGAGCAGGGAGCUGCGGAGCAGGUCCACGGGCGGCGCCAUUACAGCAGGUGCAGGCUAAGGGUAAUGAGCAGAUCGAGGCGAUGGAGGAGGACCCGCACGAGGUGCAGCUUCUUCGCCUCCUGCGCAAAGUCAGCGCCCAAGCAGCCGCUGAGGGACAGGCCGAGGCUUAGCUCGAUCUCAUCCGACUAAAUGGUGGCUGCACUCCCACAGUCCCACUGGUGCUCCUCCCUUCUGUCCGAACCUGCCGAGGAAAUCCCUCGAUGCCAUGGGUCCCGGCUGGACGACUACUCCUCCCACAGAUUGACUGAGGAAGAAGAGCUUCUCAGUGUCCAAAAAUUCAGUUACACUGGAAACAGCAACCAAUUACGUUCUUCCGGCUCAGCCAAGCCCCAAUCUCCUUGCUUCUGUGCGCCCCUGCUAAAUAUUCCAGAAACCAAUCUGGUUAGUUGUUUUUUCACAUUUUCAGUGCAUGCCGGUGCUGCUGUGUGCGGCAUGCAUGGAGUUGUCGUGGGAGUGCACGGUGGCUUAGCUGGUGCGCCAGUGCGCGGGCACGAACACAACGGUGAAGAUGGCAGGGCCAUCUCAAAGCUCCUGAGCACCUGCACGCGUCGCUGAGCAGGACAUGCUGCGACGGUGGGCGAGCGCUGCUAACGCCCUGGGGAAGAGCAGUGGGUGCAGAGAGAGGGAGCGAGGGAGAGGGGUUCUUGUAUAUGUUUGCUAGCGUGGCACCGUUUACGGUGCCCGCCUAAGUGGCAUUCACGUGUCAUUCAUCCCAAAUGGUGUUGCAAGGUUGAACCUAUUGUGGGAGGCUUUUGGUUUCCCUUGACAGUAUCACCAGUGAUAUCACUGCGUUCUGGUUAUGUAUGAAACACUUGUCCUUUUAAAACCUUUCUGAAUUUAGAAACGAAUUUGAAACAUUACCCUCAUUUCCAUGUUUUUCUAUCUUUUGUCCCUGUAAAAUCAAACUAAAUUUGAAUUAUUAUGUUCAGAACUACAAGCUGAUUUACUUGUCCCAUUUGCUAAUAACAGGGCCUUGUGAUUUCUAAUGAACAUUGCAGAGCAUGUUAUAAAGCGUAUGCAUGAACACCAAGGGGAUGAAACCAUUGGUAUAUUUCUCACAACCUUUUGAACUUAUCAUUUAGCAUAUUUGUGUUCUAGUGUGACGUUUCAGCCACGAGACAUGAGAAAUGUUAGCUAUGGAUUUUGGUUAUUCAUCAUGGGUUCACAGAUUUGUUUUUCUCUAAAAGAAUUGGGAAGUAGCUUUCUUUCUGGGUAUAUGUGGGGAAAUGCAUAUGCAAUCUUUUAUUUAUUGAGGUGACUGUAAAAUUCUUGUCUGACUGAAUAUGCGAUUUCAACCUACAUGCUAUACUUAGGGAAAUUUGUGAAUCUCCUAAUGUCUGCUGCAUGGCAUGAAUGCAUAUUUUACUGGUCCAUAAUGUGAAGUUCUGUAUAUAAACUUCUCGUGUUGACCCUUUAGAACAUGCUAACUGGAGAGUUUUCUAGAGUAGUUAAACAAGAGAUUUAGUUAAAUCUGCACACAUAGGUGGGGCCUGGCAUACCCUAAGAAUCGGCCUAGCCGGUCAGCCCAUUAGUAAAAAAAAAAGCACCGCAGUCAGCAGUCCCCACGUUGGUCUUCCUCGAGUCGCGACUCGCGAAGCUCCCAUCCUCCGAGUCCAAGAUGGUGGACUGUGUCGAGCGCGGGGCGGGCGAUUAGUUGCCCGGCCGCCGGCGGGGGAUGGCCGGACGGCCAGAUCGCCGACUCCUCUAGUCCUCCCUCCAGCCUCUGCGCUUCUUUCACAGUGGAGCUAGCGGCGAGGCGCCCGACCGACACCCUUCUUCCCAAAUCCCGGCAGCCCUACCUCGAUUUGGCCUCCUCCGAUCAUUUGAUAAUCAAUUUGAUGAAAUUAAUAUGGAGUUGCUUUCUUGUAUGGUUGCCUUCAAUCCUGCUAAUUCAUUUGCUUCAUUUGAUGCACAAAAGAUACAUAGACUUGCUAUAUUUUUAUCCACAAGACAUCACAAGCACGGAUUUGCUAAAACUUGAAUUCCAGCUCGAUAUUAUAUUGAUGAUGUGAGAUAGGAUGAUAGUUUCAAAGGCCUACAAGAUCUUGUUAACUGAGACUCAGUUAAGCUUGUUGAAACAAACAGGCAUAAUAUUUAUGACUUGGUUUACUUGCUUCUCAAAUUGGUAUUGGUUCUUCUUGUGGCGACAGCUAGUGUUGAAAGGGAUUUUUGUGCAAUGACUUUGAUCAAGAGUAAGCUAAGAAAUAAGAUGGGUGAUAGUCUUUUGGAUGAUUGUCUUAUCACAUUCAUUGAGAAAGAUAUUUUCUUUGAAGUGGAUGAAGAAGAUAUAAUUAAGACUUCAUAUCCAUUAGAAAUCGUAGGCUGGAGAAGAAGUAAUAUUUUAAUUUUCUUUGAACGUUAGGUCUGUAAGCUUCUUUUAAACUAUCUACAUUAUAAUUUAUGGACCUUUUAAUUUAACCGUUGAAUUCAUGAUAUUAUGAGAUUUUUUUAUCUAUGUUAUUAUUGUUUACCGAUUUAUUACCAAAUUAUUAGUUUGAUCUUACAAUAUUGUAUUUUGGAUGAUUGGCUCGGCAUACUCUAAGUUUAAAUCCUAGCUCCGCCACUGUUUGCACAUUAAUGUGGCUUAUAUGUGUGGAGUCACUUAACCUAUGCACUUGGACCUCCACUCCCUUAGGUUUUAUGAACCUAAUUUGACAGCCUGCUCGUCUUUUAUUUUCUACCAAUCAGCUAGGAACGAACAUGGUGAUGUUUGCAUCUCUGCCAUCAAUGGCUUACAUGUCAUUAUGUAUCACAUUAGCAAGUCUUGUUUUGUUAUUGGCUGGGAUGACGGGGACUCUAGCUGGAAUUGAAUCAAAGUGGUAGAUCACAGGGUAUUCAUUGCCAUGUAUUUCUGCAGUUGCAUGGACUUGCAUCAAACGGACCUUCCUACUUAUGUGAUUGUCCUAUAUGAUCUCCUUUGAUUUCAUUUGCACACUGUAAUCACAUUAGCUAGAACACUCGCUUUUUGCUUCAAAUUUGAAAUUCAUAUCAUGAUGGACUAGAACGCUGAAUUUCUUGAUUGCUGAGUUACUAAUCACAUUGUGGCGCUGCCAAAGAAGCUGGACUCUUCAUUGUUGUUGCCUUGUGGGCUGCCGUGUGCAAAGAACAAGAGCGCACGGUAUUAUAAUAGCAGAGCAGAACACAGACAAGCGACAAGGAGCGGAGCAGAGCAGAGCACAGCCAGGCACAAGCAGUAGAGUAGAGCAGAGCAACCGGGAGAGGAGAGGGCACAUAUGCAGAGUAGAGCAGAGCCAAGCGCAAGCAUUCAUGCACUCAAGCAUGCAGCAGAGGUGUAGCAAGGCAAGCACAAGCAGCAGAGCAGAGGGAAGGGAAGGCUGGGAGAUGAAUAGGCGAAUAGUUACCUGGACAGAGCAGAGGGAAUGGAGAUGAUGCAGAUGCUUCCGGAGACUCGAGAUUUGGAGAGGAACAAGGCCACGUUGUGAACAAGGUCUCCUUUCUCUUCUCUAUUUCCCGCGCAAGUACUUGUGCAUAGUGGCUGCCUCAUCCUCCAGGACGUCCACUUCAACCUGAGGCGGGUGCCACAGACAUCCUGGCUAUGCGACGGCUACCCCCAGCACACCCCCGGCGCCUAUGAACCAUGAUCCUAAUACUAUAAAUUGUCAACCUUGUAAUCUUAUUUCAAGCAUGCUCUCUAUGUCAACCUGUAAGGUUAACUUCGUUUUUCCUUUUCUGGGUAGGGGAGUGGAUAUUGCUGUUAUUUAUAUUAUGUUGAUAUUGGUUUCCACAUGUCAUUCACCCCAAAUGUGUUGCAAGGUUGAACCUAUCAUCGGAGGAAUUUUUUUCCCUUUACCUUUAUAUCACUACGCUCUGGUUAUGUAUGAAACACUUGUCUUCUUAAAAACCUUAAUUUAGAAACAAAUUUGAAACACUAUCUUCAUUUACAUCCUGUAUGUGUUUUCUACCUUUUGUCCUAUAUGAUCUGCUUUGAUUUGAUUUGUGCAUAGUUUUUUCAAUUCAGACCUGGUGAUUUCUGAGGUUCAUGUUGUGCUGAUAAGCAGCCUACUAUUCAGUAACACUUUCAUGUGGCAUGUUCAUGUUAGCUAGCUAGAAACACUGCUUUUAGCUUCAAAAUUCAAAUUCAUGACAUGAUGGACAUUGACAAUGAAUUUCUUGAUUGCCGAGCUAUGUACACUGUAAUUCAGACCUGGUGCUUUUAGUUUUUUUCUUGAUUGCCGAGCUAGAAACACUGUGCUUUUAGUUUUUUCAAUUCAGACCUGGUGAUUUCGGUUUUUUCAAUUCAGACCUGGUGAUUUCUGAGGUUCACGUGUCACACCGAUUUUAAGAACAAAAUCGAGUGCAUUAAAUAUACAUGUACGCUAGGAUCAGGUUACACACAUGUACGACAUAAGCGAAUAUCAAAGACAAUGCCAUAACGAAAUAAAGAGAGUAUUAAUCAUUAUUACAUGACCGAAAGUCUCAAAUAAACCACAAAAUCUAUUUAUUACAUAGCGGAACUUCUAAGAUAGCAACGUCUCCACAGGCAGCUGACUGAAGAACUGUAUGCCUAGAACUCUUCAAAAUCGUGCAGGUACUCCUCCAGAUUAGCUUGGUAUGAACAACGGUUUUGCAAGGGUGAGUACACUUAUGGUUGGUACUUAAUAAGUCGUGGGAAACAAUGUAGUGUAAGGCAAAUCAAGGUAUGGCUAAGGCUUAAACAGCAUCAGCUUUUAAUUUAGUUGGUCAAAUUUUAUUAGCAAUUAAUUAGACGUAAAUUUAUACCACCCGAAAUUAAACAAGAACAUGAAUAAAAUAAUAACAUAACCAUAAAUGAAAUGACAACAAUUUAAAUCCAUCUUUUCAUAGCAUUAUCAUGUGAGGGUCCAGUCCGUUCUUAACCGUGAGCACCGCUGAUCGAUCAGUUUUACACUCUGCAGAGGUUGUACAUCUUUACCCACAAGUCGCGUAAAAGUUCAAAAGAAUUUUGGACCCAACCAUGCGGUAUUUGCAAGGCACCAUACCACACUUCCAAGGUGUGAUUGCAUAUGAACGCUACGAGGCCUUUACAAAGAUUCAUUAGUAAGUGGUAACCCGCUAAGGUUUCGGUAUUUGGCGUGCACAACCUAUCACAGGCCGCUAAUGCAACGACUCAGUCCCCCCUCUUGCCUCAUCACGAGUAAGAUUACCCCAGACUAAGGUUUCUAAUUAUUCAGCCAAGAUCAGAACCAUUUAGUCUUGUGGUAGCACUGUUUUCCUGGGUGGUUCUCCAUGUUCCGAUUAAACAUAAUGGUCUUGUAUUAAUGGAAGGUAUAACAUAAAUAAUACCAAAUUAAUAAUAAUUCAGAUUAAAUCACCAUAACCAUAUUUGAGCACUAAGCAUGAGCUACCCAACAUAAAUUUAACCCGGUUGGUCAAGGCAAGGUAGAUAAAGUCUAGGAAAUUCUUAAUUGGGACCCAUCAAGUUUAAAUUAUACUUUGCAUGGUAUGUUGCAUAGAACAUGAAAGUAAAUGUGAAUAGGACUGAAAAGGAGUGAUUAGGGACACGACUUGCCUUUUUAACCUUGUUCUUGCUGUUCGUACUCUUCGAAAACUUUGAUCUUCAAAUCCCUUGAACUGCUGACCGUCUACACGCGUCACACGACCACAUACAAGCAAACAAAUAUAAUACAUAAGAAAACAGUACACCAAUCAUAAUUAAAUAGAAGAAACAAAUUUGAAAAGCUAUUCUACGCAUUAAAACGAAAACACGGAUACAAGGAACGUUAAAAACGGAGCUACAGUGCAAAAACUACGCUUAAAACAAGAUGCAGGGGUAUAACUACGAGAAACCAAACUUCCAGGGAUUUAAUUUUAAAUAAUUUUGAACUGCAGAAGGGGCAGCAGGGCAAAACGUAGAAAAUGCAGGGGCUUAAGCGCAAAAGCAUGGCUGCUGACUCAGCUGACUUGAUGUGGAUCGUCGGAUGGCGAUCCGGCGGCCGGCAGCUGCUGCGCUGACGUCAGCGACGGCGAGCGCCGGCGAAAAACGGCAGUUCGCCGGAAUCGCCCGGGAACGCGCGACUGGGUGCAGAUUUGAGCGAGGAUUAGACUAGCAGAUAGAAACGAGCGCAGUGAACUCAUUUGGGAUGCCUACGGCGAGGACUUGGCGACGGCAUCGGCUCCGGCGAGAACUUGCGGCAGGGAAACCAAAUAAAAUAAAAUAACACGGUUCAGAGAAGCGGCGCUGGAGGAACGCGAGCGAUUUUGCGUGCGAGCGGAAGAAAACACUGCGAGGAAGAUGACUGCGGGCCCUGCUUGUCUGCGGCAGGAGGAGAGCUGCGUGCGAGAAGAACCUGGCCACGAUCUGGGCCGUUGCCUUCGAUCUGGGCCGAGGCAAGCUAGCUGGCCCGCUGCUGCGGAAAGGUGCUGGGCCACGGGCGGAGCACAGCGUCGGGCCAGAAAGGAGAUGGCUGCUGCGAGGAAACAAAAGAAAAUGAACUGGGCUGCGACAGAGGAAAACUGGGCGUCGGCCAGAAAGAAGCUGCGUGCAGCUUGCUCUUGUUUCCGAACUAGAAACAGGAACUGACGGAAAGACAGAAAUCAAUUGGAGACUGAAACUGACGCCCCAGACUCUGAACUUCGAAAAAACAGGACAACCAGCCAACUGACAGAAAAAAAAAAGCUUAACAACCCAAAAGCAGUACACAACCACGAAACCAGGCCACAAGACUGAAAAAGCUUGAUAGGAACAUCUGGCGACUGAACCAAAAAACUACAGAACUGCAACUGAAGAACUAGAGAACAGAUAAAUAACUGAUUGAACUCUGAAACUGAAACACCAAAGAGCAGGAAGCUGACUGACGGAAAAUGCAAAACAGCAACCCAAGGUGAAACACAAAUUCUUCUUCAAGCAUUCAAACAAAGAGAUAUGCAACAGCAUGAAUGCUCAAUAAAAUCCUAUAUUUCAUUAAUUAAUUAGAAAAAAUGCUCAAAUGCCUAGAAAAAUGCAAAAGUGACCUUAUAUGCCUUAAACAAGCAAAUUCGUUUCUAGCGAUUUUUGGUAAAAUGCAAAAUUAGAGAUUUUGGGUGUUACAUCAUGUUGUGCUGAUAAGCAGCCUACUAUUCAGUAACACUUUCAUGUGGCAUGUUCAUGUUAGCUAGCUAGAAACACUGUGCUUUUAGCUUCAAAAUUAAAUUCAUGACAUGAUGGACAUUGACAAUGAAUUUCUUGAUUGCCGAGCUAUGUACACUGUAAUCACAUUGUGGGGCUGAUAAAAUAAGCAGCGUUGAGACACAUAACAAUUGAAUCUUAAGCUUCACACAGAAUCUGGACCAGUCAUCCUCAUUCCUGUCAUGCUGGAAAUGUCUUUGAUACAUUUCAAUCACAGGCAAUUGAAUUCGUACUGGGGAGGAUGGCAAUGGUGCAUGAAGAGAGAUCAAUGUGGCAAAUCUCACAUUGUUCAUUACCAGGUAUCUCCGAUUUCUGGUUAUUUUAAAUUUACCUUGACAUGUGACUUAUUGAGGUAUUGUAUUUCAUCUAAUGGUAGUUCUGAAUUUAUGGUAACCUUGGAUGGGGUUUGUCACUUUAUACACGCACGGACUUACAAAGGACAGCAAAUGAGUAUAUUUAGAGGGCUCCUGUCCAACCAUGGACUAUACUUAUGUACCCUUUUUUGACAUGGUAAUUUGAGGUUAAUGGAAAAGUAGCGAUAGUCGCCUCCAGCGAAGCUACCUUCUUCGAAAGCUCCGAGGCUGCUUUCUCGCUCUUAGCAAGCCGAUCCCUCGUAAUCAUCGAAGAGUAAGAGACCUACAGAUUUUAAAAACCAAGUUACCAAAAAUAACGAAGUAAAAGACAACACUCGCAAGACAAACCACCAAACUAUCUCAUAAUUGUACCUUCUUUACGAGGUUCGCCUCCAAGUUAAAGAGCUCUUCCAAGAUCAUUGACUUCACAGCUUGCUGAAAAUCUAUGCGCCAAAGGAUAUAGUCGUAAGCAUAAAAUAAAAAUUGGUAAAAACCAAGGACAGCAAAGCCAUCUACAAGCUGUUCUUACCCUCAUACUUUCGCACCUCAACGGCGAUCGGAACAACCUUCUCUCUAGCCUCGCCCUUAGACGCCACCACAAUCUUCCCGCCACACAAAUCCACAACCCCUCCUUUACCUUUGCCCUCUCCCGAAGUCGUCGUGCCCGCCUUCUCCACCCUUUUUGAACCGCCAACAUCUGCAUAGCGCUCGCAACCUUCACCUUCAGCCCCCCAGACCAAAGACAGGUUGUGAGGAUUAUAAACCCUACCUUCGGCGCAUGUAGCUAGAAUCUCCGUGCGCCCGCUCAAGCCCAGACACUCAUUCAGUCCCUGAAGCCCCGCCGGCAACCUCUCACCUACAUCAUAACAUUCAACUUUUAGCCUCACAUGAUCCUCACAACUAACCUUACCAACGCCCCCCAUAGUUUCUUCCAAGUCCUUCAAAAAUUUCGUUGAGGCCUCACCACAAUCAAAGAACCGUAGCAUCGAUAGAAACACCUCUACAUGCUUACCAGAUCUCACAGCUUCGGCACACCCACCCUUUGGAUCAGAUGAGAACGCAUCCACAAGCUUCGCCUUUUCGGUGGCAAACCCCCUCUCAAGUUUCCCAACAUCAGUCAAGAGAUGUUGCGCGCUCUUAAACUUCGAGCUUAUGGAAGGCACCGUGAUCUUGGUACCAGCUGCCGAAGACGCGUCAACCUUGGCACCCGUAACAGUAACAGGAGCAAAUCGAGGUUUCUUGGCGCCUCUUUUGAUCCGUGCGGCGGGCCCGGUGGAUGAAGGUGCAAGAGCUGGAACCUCCUUAGGAGGGCGCAUAGAGACAGGAACAACAUAUGCCGGAUUGCUCAAGUCGCCAGACGAAGCUGUCGACCACGAUGGCAACAUAGCAGACGAAGCCCCCGCGGUCAUUUCCUUCCUUUUUUGCGCCUCCAAAUUCAAGGUCUUUUGCUUCGCCUUAGCGGUCACUUGCAAUUCAAUAGUGAGCUUCACCAUGGGUACGAAGUCAAAUUUUGCCUUUUUCCUCUGCUCAAGACUAGCACCGCGACGGCGCCUCUUGCCCGUAACUUUGGGGUGAGGCAGAACCACAAUAUCAUACAAGUCAAAAAUCUAAGAUGAUGACAUUCCAUUUGUAUCCAUGAUUUAUAUUGUGUUCCUUGAAUAUCCAUUAAAGUCUACUUGAAUUGAUUUGCAAUUAUGUGAAUUGUAUGUGAAACUCUUUCCUUGUAUGGUUAUUCUAAAGUUGUCCCUAGUCGGAGUUCAUGUGAGGACACAUGAAUAUUAGACUAGCACAUGUAUUAGUUGAUGACUAUGUUUCACAAGUCAUGGACAUGAAGAUGUGGAACUAAUAAUGUGGGCACAUGUGGAGACACGUGCUAGGACUGACCCAACACGAGAAGUAGUUCUCUCUUUAUACAACAUAUACGCUUUGUCCUUAGACCUGAGAUUGUCGCAUGUACUCAAGAUGUGGAUCGACUUACUUAGGGGCUAUCAAAUUCUACGCCGUAACAGGGUAGUUAUAAAGGUAGCUUUCGGGUUUGUCAAGAAGCAUGCUAUGAGACAUGGUCAAUCAAGAUGGGAUUUGCCCCUCUCUGAUUGAGAGUGAUAUCUCUGGGCCCCUCGAGUGAUCGGAUCCGAAAAUGCAUGGCCAUGCUACAUACGAUUAAGAGUUAGCCUACAAAAGGAUUCCGAAUCAUAGGAUCGAGAAAGAGCGGUCGGCUUGAAGCUAGACCAAAUAUCGUGAGGCAAAGGGAAUAGCAUGUAUAUAAUGUUGUGAUGGUUCGUCUGAUAUGAUCUUCGUGUGCGUAUAGGAGUUGGCACGUCUUGCUAGAGGUCGCUACCGACUAUUGGGCCGAGUAGGAGUACUCAGGCCAUGUCUAUACGUAUCCGAACCCAUAGGGUCACACACUUAAGGGGCUGGAAGCCCAAUUCGGAUGUGAUCCGAAUUGGAUUAGGUUUAGAAGUACUAAUGGGCCUUGGACCUAGAGGCCCGUUAGGAACCUCUAUAAAUAGAGGGGUGGGGGCGCCCUAGGGUUUACACCUUUUUGGUGAAACACAUCUGCCGCGCCUCCCACGCCUUCGCCUGUUGCAACUCGCGGACCUAGCAGUCCGGCUUGCGACGCUUCCUCCCUGCACGUGUGGAUACCUUGGAAGUGUUGCUCCUGCAGCACUUGGACGAGCCGCCAACGAGCCACGACGAGCCACGAUGAGCCGACGAUGAGCCGCGGCACGAGGGGGAUCUUGCUGCACGUGGACGAGCUGCUGAGGAGCUGCUGGACGUCGAUGUGUUCGACUACGUACGACUACGCUGAUCGACUUCGCUGCAUCAACGCGAAUCUACAUCUUCCGCAUCAUUGCAUCGAGUGGUAAUCCCGUGAUCCUGAUACGGCAGUUUUCCUAGUUUACGCGGUAGAAAAUUUUGUUUUGUGCUAGUGUAGCCUAACUCAUAUCCCAACAACGUGUGCUAUAGGUCACGCAAGCCUGAAAAUGGCCACACCGGACACCGGGUACGAAAACAUGGGGGAUGGACCGAACAUUUGAAAAUGGCCUCCAUAUGUGUUUUCGGCUAUGAAAAUGUGUGUUAUAGGUCACAGAAGCUUGAAAACGGCCGCACCAGCCACUAGGGACGAAAACGUGGGGGAUGGACCAAAGACAUAAAAAAUAGCCUCCAGACGCGUGUUCGGCCAUGAAAACGUGUGGUAUAGGUCCUGGAAGGCCAAAAACAGCUACACCGGCCACCUGGGACGAAAAAGUUUGUGUAAGACCGAACACUUGAAAAUAGCCUCUGGACGCGUGUUCGGCUAUGAAAAGGUGUGUUAUAGGUCACACGAGCCCCAAAACAACCACAGCGAACACCAGCUACAAAAACAUGGGGGAUGGAUCGAAUAAUUGAAAAUGGCCUCCAGACGUUUGUUCGGCCAUGAAAUCGUGCGUUAUAGGUCGCGGGAGCCCGAAAACGGCCACACCGGCCACCGGGAAUGAAAAUGUGGGGGAUGGACCGAACAAUUAAAAAUGGCCUCCGGAUGUGUGUUCGGCCAUGAAAACGUAUGUUAUAGGUCACGGGAGCAUGAAAACGGCCGCACUGGCCACUGGGGACGAAACGUGGGGGAUGGACCGAAGACGUGAAAAUAGCCUCCAGACGCAUGUUCGGCCAUGAAAAUGUGUGCUAUAGGUCAUGCAAGGCCAAAAACAGCUGCACCAGCAACCGGGGACGAAACCAUGGCUGUCAAACCGAACGCUUGAAAAUCGCCUUCGGACGCGUGUUCGGAUAUGAAAACAUGUGUUGUAGGUCACGCGUGCCCGAAAACGUCCACAACGGACACCGGGUACAAAAACGUGGGGGAUGGAUCGAAUAACUGAAAAUGACCUCCGAACGCGUGUUCGGCCAUGAAAACGUGUGUUAUAGGUUGCGGGAGCCCAAAAAUGGCCACACCGGCCACCGAGGAUCAAAACGUGGGGGAUUGACCGAACAAUUAAAAAUGGCCUCCGAUUGUAUGUUCGGCCAUGAAAACGUGUGUUAUAGGUCAUGGGGGCCCAAAAAUGGCCGCACCAGCCACCAAGGACGAAAAUAUGGGAGAUGGACCAAAGACAUGAAAAUGGCCUCCAGAUGCAUGUUUGGACAAAAGUGUGUGCUAUAUGUCGUGCAAGGCCAAAAACAGCUACACCAGCCACCGGGACAAAAACGUGGGUGUUUGACUAAACAAGUGAAAAUGGCCUCCGGAAGCAUGUACGGCUAUGAAAAUGUGUGCUAUAGGUAAUGGAAGGCUAACAAAAGCUACACCGGCCACCGGGGACAAAAUCAUGGGUGUCAGACUGAACACUUCAAAAUGGCCUCCGGACGCGUGUCCGGCUAUCAAAACGUGUGUUAUAGGUCAUGCGAGCCCGAAAACAACCACACUGAACACCGGGUACAGAAACAUGGGGGAUGGACUGAAUAACUGAAAAUGGCCUCUAGACGCGUGUUCGGUCAUGAAAACAUGUGUUGUAGGAUGCGGGAGCCCGAAAACGGCCACACCGGCCACCAGGGCAUGGACCAAACAAUUGAAAAUGGCCUCCGGAUGUGUGUUCGGCCAUGAAAACGUGUGUUAUAGGUCACGGGAGCCCAAAAAUAGCCGCACCGACCACUGGGGAUGAAAUCGUGGGGGAUGGACCGAAGAUGUGAAAAUGGCCUCCAGAUGCGUGUUCGGCCAUGAAAACGUGCGCUAUAAGUCAUGUAAGGCUAAAAAUUGCUACACCGGGACUAAAGCAUCCCCCAUGAGUUACAAUAAAAGGAUUGUAUCCUCUACUCAGUCGGAUGUACUGUGUAGGUGAGAUGGUAAGGAAGCUAUGCGCGAGGUUUGAGGUUGUGGGUUGAAAUCCUACGCACCGCGCGCACACGCGCAUAUUUUGUGUGAAAAAUCAUGUGACUUGUGAUCGGCCAAGGAGAAGUGGGUGCAGCUGUGGCUUAAGUGGCUGAGGCACGCUGCCAUAGACAUCUCCGAUUUGCUCGAAGACUACCAAGACACUAGCAAUAACAAGAACUACUGCUCUUCCUAGCAGACUCUUUACAACCACUUUAAAGCUGUGCAUUUCUCAAUGUAAUUUCGUAGAAGGCAAUCGAUCCAACCAAGCGACUAAAUCAUUUGUUCUUGCCAAUGAUGUACAUCAGGUUUUCUAUAUGAAGGACAUGUCUAGCAAACCUAAGAUUUUAGAAGAAAAAGAAAAAUUAUGGGAGUCAAUAAUAAAUCAGGCCAAUCAGGAGAUUAUAGUAAGCUCGAUGGUAUGCCUCCAUUCGAUGUCGAAGUUGGCCCAAGCAUCAUGUUAGCCAAAGAUCAAAUGUUCGUGCAUUGCUACGGUAAAGAUCAAUUGUGUCUUUUAAACCCAUGGAAUUUUUUAUCUAUGUUUUUAUUACACUUAAUGGAUGUCUACACAUUUGCUAGAAAAUCAAAAUAAUUUUGACUUAAUUAUUUCUUUCAACUCAAAUACUCAUUAAAUUUCUACCUUUUUAUUUAAGCAAGAGAGUUGCUCAAAAAAUGGAUACGUAACCAUGUUGUAUCAUACAAAGCAACCACAUUUCACAUAUAGUCUGGCUUAGCAAACACCAUUGUUGUCUUAACAUAGUGUUCAUGAGUUAGUAGACAUGGAUCUAUUUCUAAUUGCAAGUAGUGCAGCGUACAACCAGCCUGCACCGCCGCAGCUCAAUAUGCGAUAAUUUUUUAUCUUCCCAUGUAAUUUUUCUACUCUAGUACAUAUUGAACUCCACAUAAAUGUCAUGUUCUUUCACGCCACAGACGGUUUCUAAAGUUUGGAACUAAAUAGAUAGCCAAAAAUUUUAAAAAAAUAUUUAUAUGGAUACAUGUAUGUUCUUUGCAAACUAACAAUAUUGUUUACAAUAUCAAAAGGAAUAUGGCUAUGAUCAUUGCCGCAUAUGGCAGGUGAUGGUAGAUGCCGUAUGGGGUUUCUUUAACUUAAUUGUAUAAUAAGCUGAAAUACAUUUUCUAUUUGCAAAUGAAUCAUAGCUGAAAGUGGUGGGAUUGUAGAACCGCCGGCCAUCGUGUCCUUGUAGGACCGCUGCACGAGCCUGUGAGCCACCAGCCACCAUGCGCCCAAGGGCCAUCACCACGCCAUAAGAGGAUGCUGUCUACCCGGUUUCGCGCGCCUGUGCUAGCUGCCUGAACCUGGGCCGCCGCCGGUCGCCUGCCCAGCCGCGCGUUGCGCCAGGGUUUUGCUGGUGACGACCAUGGCCUUCGCGAUCAAAUUAAAAAGUUAUCAACUGCAAAGUAUUAGGUCUCGUUGAGCUCUACAAUUUUGAUAUAAAGUUUCUAUUCAUCCGAGAUCAAAUAAAAAAUUUGAUACUCAAAGCAUAAAUCCAUUAAUCUAGUCUUGCUAAUCCUUACCACCAAAUAAAAAACUAGCAUGUGUUGUGUGUUUGUGACCCUAAACGAUCACAAAUGAAUAACUUAUGGGCCUUGCUAGCGCCCGGAUGUCCAGGCCGGGGCACUAGCAUCAGACCCACGAGUAGCCGUCCGAUCAGGUUCGACACCACUUCAGGAUCUGGCUUAAAAAGAAGUCCCACCGAAACAUUGUUCCAUGUUGCAUGAAGCAACCCACUACCGUCGCCAGGUCUAGAGCAAGCACCACCUUCAAAUGUGCUGCUCACCCUAGCUAAAUAGGGGCAUUAAAAUAUUUCUCGCAUAUCCUUCUCAAAUUAAACAAAAUCGCAACAUCUGAAAAUUUUUACAGAAAACCAUGAAACAUAUCGAUUAGAUAGAUGUAACAAGAUGGAAUAUGGUAUAUGCAACAUAUAGGUUCCGAAAAGCAGAUGAAAUAUUAUGUAAUGAUUCUUGAAACAGUCAAGAAAAAUAGAUGUAACAUCUAAAAUUAAGAAAAGAAGCUUUAUGCAAAUUGCAAAAAGCUGAAACAAGUGGUUGAAACAUUUCAAAUCACCAAAUGCCACAUUUGAAAUGACCAGAUGAAACAUCACGAAAUCAAUUGCAACAGUUGAAGAUGAAAACAUUCAAAUGCCUUGCCUUUCUCCAAAUUUGACCCUCCAAGCAUGAGUCCAGCCAUUUGCACAUUAGACCCUUGGGAGGAGCUCACCGGAGAACAACAAGACCGUGUUAUCCAACAAUUUUCAGAUCAAAUUGCAACAUAAAGAACAAAGCAUUGCAACAUCUGGCAUCACGAGCUACAACAGCAACCAGUUAGGAUCAGGAGAAAGAGGGCAAACACAAGCCUAACAAUGAGUUAUAUCCGGUUUAAACAAGGAUAAAAAUGAGUGUAUUUUACACUCAUCAUGUUGUCUUUUCGCAGCUGUACCGCCUUUAGCGUGUUGUAUUGUUCCUAACACCAAGUCUCCGAGGCCCGAAAAAAUAAGGAAAGUGGUAGCAGCUCAGAAAUCGACUAAGUUUCUUUCCCCCUUUGGCUUUCCUACUAGGAUUCGGAAUCCUCUUUCGUAUGACAAUCUUAAUGAUCUCCCAUAGUCCAAAACUCACAAAAACAUCAAAAAUCCACCGAGAAUAAAUUAAGUAAAAAAACAUGCACACACAGAUAAUAAUAGUAAUCAUGUUUCAUUAUGAUUGCUAAGGUCAGACACAAUACAUAAACAUAUUAGACUGAGUGACCCACCUCACCUCAGAGUAUGCACCAUGUCUGAGUGACCCACCUCACCUUGCCAGGACACUGGUCCUGCCCUCGUGGUUCACGCGCCCUCGUGGUUCAGCAGUGGUCAGUACACAAAUCUAGCUGCCAGUCGGAUCCAAGGGCAGGCAUUUGCAUUGUGGUUGUGUUUGAACAUGGAGAUGUCAUUAUUAUUGUCAGGCACCAUACAUCCUCUCUCAGUUUCACUCCGCCUCACACACGGAUAGCACACCAGGGACCCGACACCAUGCAUGCCGAUUUCAUAUUAUUAAUAUUUAAUUUUUUUAAUGGUUGUUGAAACUAUAUUGUUGAUAUUUUUAUACAUAAUUUACGACCUAAUUUGGAUAUAUUUUUGAAAUAUUCCGAAAUCUUAAAUUCACACGUCUAGAGAUACAGUUAGUCCAAUCUGAUGUUUCCGAUUAUAAAAAUGAACAUAAAGAGAUAGGAAGCGAGAGACGUGAGGGGGAAAGUUAAAUUAGGGCCUAAGGGGUGAAGUUAGGGUUCCAGGUGAGCUGUCAUCACUACGUGUUUUUAAUCGAAAUUGGAAUGUCAGCAAUCGUCAGAUCUUGAGCCAACAGUUGAGACUGCCUCGGAAUGGUAAUUAGGUCUGCGCGAGCUUGCAUUGUGGCCUUCCUUGAAACCUUGGACAUAGGUGUUAUAUUAUUAUGUUCUUGCCAGCACACAGCAGUGAAGGACGACACAGUUGAGAUGUGCAUCACAUUUUCUAUAUGAAGGAUAUGUUUAGCAAACCUAAGAUUUUAGAAUAAAAAGAAAAAUCAUGGGAGCCAAAGCGCCACAUAGUUCUUCCAGGUAAAAAAAAAUCAUCCACUGGACCAGCACAUAGUAACGAUCCAAAAAGUCCAUAUUAAGAUUUUUUGAUAGCAGAAAAAACAUAAAAUGUCUAAUAUUUGUAGUAUUAAAAGGAAAAAUAAUAUAUUCACGUGACCUUUUUCCCGUAGCAAGGCACCGGUACGUGGUCAGACUUAAUGCACGAUGCCUAAGCAUCCAUUGGGCCUACCCUCGUGUGGAUCACGCGCAACAGGACACGGCUCACAAGCUAUGAUGUGCAGCAGUCGCUCAGAUGGCUGAAAGGUACCCUUAAUUUGAAUGGUACCAUAUAUAUAUAUAUAUAUAUAUAUAUAGUAAACAAGACAAACCACCGUUGAUACUACUUUGCACUACUUGAUACAUAUAUCUCCACCAAAAGCGAGGCACGUGGGGAGGAGAGAUAUGUGGUUGAUGGUGCGGGCACGUGGCGAGUGCACCGUACGAAAAUUUUGCUCGUGUCGGACGACUGAUGUGAAGCAUUACCCAAUCUUAAUUAUCUCCCAUAAUCCAAAACUCACAAAAACAUCAAAAAUCCGCCGAGAAUAAAUUAAGUAAACCAUGCACACACAGAUAAUAAAAUUGCUAAUAAGGCCAGAGACAAUACAUAAACAUAUUAGACUGUUCAUGACACAUAUCACGGUGGAUAGUGUCUGUGUCCUUAUUACAAGCAAUGAGAGAUGCUUGUCACCACACACACGCGCACAGAUGCACAACAUACAUAUAGUUGAGACCAACAGAUGGAUCAACUAGAGGUCACCCCAUAUGGUGAACAAUUUAUUGGAGAUAAACAUUAACAUAACUUGGCCAUAGCUUGAAGCAUAGCAACAUAUGCCUAUGAACGGCGUUCAUGCUAUCAUUUUAGGCUUGUCCGCUUCUUCCAUCUUAGCAAGCACUUCCAUUUCUACCAUCUUAGAAGCAACUGUCAAAUUGAGAUAUGGAAAUCCCAUUAGCGCAUGAGUUAAUUUUGCAGUGAAAAUAGAGUACAAGAUAUCUUCAUGAUGUAAGUAACAUGCCUGAAGUUGUGAGAUGGGAAGUGAAGUCAACAAAUUACAUUAACGGAAAUGCAUGGAAGGCCACACAUACGUAUUAGUCCAUGAUAUGCUACAAAGCUUGUAUGUACAUAUAGCAAAUUAAAUGCAUUAAUUGAAUAGAGUGAGUUUAGUGAAUUUACCAGAAUCGUCCAGAAAACAUGGGAAACAGCAAGUGUUCUUGCAGACUGCGUCGGUGCCACCCACAGCAAUACAACCAAAACAACAUGCUUUUGCCCGAGCGGCUGCGCAGCAGCCGCACUCUGCCGCGGUGGCCGAGUUAGCAUUGAGGCUCAAGAUGACCAGGCACAUGAUCACCAUCAAAGCGGUGGUAGUCCUCUUUCCCUCCAUUGCCUCCUCUUGCUGCUACCUUCCUUGGUUACCUAGCUAAGUUUAUUGGUUUUGUGUUGAGAGGUGAUUCUUGCAUUGAAUGGACGUUGCCGCGGCUGCAAUUUAUAGGCAGCUGCGCUAUGUGAUGAUAUGGACAAGGUGCAAAUGGGUGGUCCUGAUAUGGAUAAGGUGCAUGCGAAUGGCUGUCUACUUGUAUAGUGGCGCUCCAAUGUACAUACGUAUGUAUCUUAUGCAUGUAUACAGUUGAUGGAUGUACAUGUUUGUUGCACAAAUUAUUCUGAACCAACUCUUCAUAACAGGUCUUUGUUACCAAGUAAUUUUACUUUUGCACGUUUCAGCCGAGAGGCAGAAGAGAAUAUUUUACAGAGAGGGCAGAGAAGGAGGUUGGCGGAGGCGCCGUGGUAGGGUUCCCCGUGUCGCCAAGAUUUUUGCAUUUUAGAUGUGUGUAUUGAUCACUUCGUCGUGCUCGCGGGGCCCAACUCCAGGUUGUACCCCAGCAGACCACGUUCUGUUUCUCUGCCUCCAAUGAGCAUGCAUGCCUCCACAAGGACCACAAGACUUAGUAAAAAAGCUAAACUUUGCAACACGAUGUAUACAGAACGUUUUGAAAUGUACUCUCGUUAGGCAUUCACCUCCUUAACAAUCACUGCGACUGUAAAAGAGGUACAUCGACGCUAGCUAAAUAAACCACUAUAAGAUUUAGCAAGAGAUCAUUUUAUACAAUCCUGUAACGAAACAAUUUGACAAUUAUAGUGUCCAUAUAUUUUGACAAAAAAACGUUUAAAUUAUAUAAGGAGGUGGGCCCGAAAACGGUUGGAUUACAUCGAGAACGUUUUGAAACAGUUGGCGGAGCAGGAUUCUGGCGUGGAGCAUCUACAUUGUCGCGCGCGCGGACUGCCGGAGUAGGCACGCUCGACUUGUCCCAUCGCCAGCUAAAUGAUUUAGUACCGGAUGGUCUCUAGUACCGGUUGGAGCUACCGUCCACCAGGAGCUUUUCUAGUUUGGAACUGGUACUAAUGCUAAUAUUAGUAUCAGGUCAAAAACAAUCGGUACUAAGGCUAGGGAUGACACGUCAUUUUUCUAGUAGUGUGUGCAAUUGGUUUUGUAAUUAGUCUAUAUUUAAUACUUCUAAUUAGUAUCUACACAUUUUAUGUGACAGGGACUGAACUUUAGUCCGUGGAACCAAACACCCCAUAAGUAUGUUUGGUGCUGUAAGGAUUUCGGUUUUAUUUAAUUUCCUAGGCAUUUAAAUUUCUUUCUAAAAUAAGUUAAUGAAUCAUAGGAUCUCAUUGUUGUAUUCAAGCUGGUGCAUUGAUUUUGCCUAUAAAACCCGCCGCGGUCUUCGCAGCCCCCAUCAAACCCUAGCGCCCUUGCCACAAGCUCAGCACCGCUGCCGCCCGAGCUCGAGCACUAGCACCCACCCAUCGCCGUUGCCUUCCCGUCGAUGGGAUCACCGCCCGGAGCUUCGCAUCGUGGUAAGGAAGCCGCCCGUGAAGAUCCCAUGUGCUCCUAUGCCCUCUACCGCGUCCCCGAGUUCCCGGAGUUGCUAGUCUCCCACCGAGCCGACUCUCCGAGCUUCACGUCACUGGUGCCGCUCCGAAGACCUAGUUCGGUUCGCCAUGCACCUCGCUUCAUCCUGAGCUAAACCCCAUAAUGAAUGGUGGUCGGAUGCUCGCCGCCACGGCGCGUCGUCUUUUCUGUCGCCCGUGCAUUGCCUAUCCCCUUCCAGCCGAUUGCAGCUGUCCGAUCGCAAACCGGUGGCCCUGAUCGGAUACCAAGGUCAAUACCGGUCGAACCGAGCCGUGCGCUGCUUUUGCAAGAAGGCCCCUGUUUUUCUCUCUUUUUGCACCUGAGGUCCUACGCAGUUCAAAAGUAAUAAGAUCUAGGUCCUUUUUCUUUUGUUUUAGCCCGUGUUCUUUUAUAAAAUCCCGCCCACUAUUCUGUUUGGUCUUUUGACGCGUUAGACCUUCUUUUUAUAUGUUUAAUUAGGUUUUAGGUCUCGAUUUCUUUAAGUUUAGCCCUUGAAAGUUUAGUUCUCUCGCAGUUAAGCCCCUGAACCUUGUUUAGCUCAUAUCUUAAGCGUUUUAAAUCCGUUUUAACAGAUUCUUGCGCCUAUAAGUUCAUGUUGACGCAUAGAUUAGUUGACUUAUACGAACCUUGCUGAUUCAGCUCCUUGAUUGUGCUUCAGAUCUCGCUAGGGAAGAAUAAUGGAUGGGCUUUGGUUGAGCUUGUAGAUCGACUUGCAGUUGCAGUGAAUGAGCAGAGGAUUGGCAGUGAAUAAGAUCAGGCCGCUGCCCUGCUUGGUAGGGAAAAUAUCUGCUUGCUACCAAGGCCUGUGACGCAUGGACCCCAUUGAGAGUGCAUUAUUGACAAGGACUUAAAGCCAAGGGCUCCACACCUGUCAUUGAUCAGCUGUCUGCUGGGCGCUGCAAGGAGGUAGUGCAUGUUUGACAUAAAGAAGCAGGUGGCCCAGGAUUUACGAAAAAUAAGGAUCUAUUUGAUACCCUUGCUUAUAUUUAGGGGCUAAAAGUUGCUUAUUUGAAGUUGCUUAUUUUUAAUCCUAGCUGUUUGAUUGCAUGGGCUAAAGAGCAUUGAAUGAGGUGGAUAUUGUCAUGUUUGCCUCUAAUGAUUGCUUCCCAUCACAUUUCUCCCCCCUCAUUCAACGAGGGAAGGAGGUGUAAAGUGCACCUUUUAGCCCCGAUAAGUAACCCUUGUGUUGUUUACGGGCUGAACAUAAGUAGCUAAAGUUUAGCUCCAAUAAACAAGAGUGUUUGGUAUUUUUGGGGUUAAAAGGGGCUAAACUUUAGCUGCUUAUGCAUAAGCAAGGCCAUCCAAAUAGGCCCUAAGUAUGUUUGGCGUUGUAAGUAGGUUUUAUUUAAUUUCCUAGGCAUUUAAAUUUCUUUCUAAAAUAAGUUAAUGAAUCAUAGGAGUUCAUUGUUGCAUUCACGCUGGUGCAUUGAUUUUGCCUACAAAACCUGCUGCCGUUUCCGCAGCUCCCAUCAAACCCUAGCACCCCCGCCACGAGCUCCAGCGCCGCUGCCGCCCGAGCUUGAGCACUAGCGCACACCCAUCGCCGUCGCCUUCCUAUCAAUGGGAUCACCGCCCGGAGCCCGUGUCAUGGUAAAGAAGCCGCCCGUGAAGAUCCCGUCCACUCUCGUGCCCUCUACCGCGUCCUCGAGUUCACCGGAGUUGCCAGUCUGCCACCCAGCCGCCUCUCCGAGCUUCAUGUUGUCGUUGCCACUCUAGCUGCCUCUCUGAAGACCUAGAUCGGUUUGCCGUGCACCCCGCUUCAUCCUGAGUUAAACCCCAUCAUGCCACGUCAUAGUAAGGAAGCUGCUCAUGAAGAUCCCGUGCGCUCCCGUGCCCUCUACCGCGUCCCCAAGUUCACUGGAGUUGCUAGUCCACCACCGAGCCGCCUCUCCGAGCUUCACUUCACAGUCGCUGCUCCAGCCACCACUCUGAAGACCUAGAUCAGUUCGCUGUGCACCCCACCUCAUCCUGAGCUAAACCCCAUGACGAACUGUGGUCGGAUGCUCAUUUUCGAGUGAAUUCCGGCGAGAUGGUCGCCCGCCGCCGCCAUCUCCAUCGCCCAUGCACCGCCUGUCCCCUUCCAGCCGAUGUCCGAUUGCAAACCGAUAGCCGAAAUCGGAUGUGGUCACCAGGAUUAAUACCAGUCAAACUAAGCCACGCGUGCCGCUUUUGCAAGAAGGCCCCUAUUUUUCCCUCUUUUUGCACUUGAGGUCCUAUGCAGUUCAAAAGUAAUUAGAUCAAGGUCCUUUUUCUUAUGUUUUAGCCCUAUUCUUUCAUAAAAUCCCGGCUGCCAUCCUGUUUGAAAUAGAUACGGUUAUAGAUAUGCAAACAUCUGCAUAUUUCCAACCGUAUCUCUUUCGAACGGGAGACGCCUAACUAGGUUACGUGACAUACGAACAUCAUACGGAUAGAGAGGGGUAGGAUGUCUCACCUUGCUAUCCUACAAAGUGACGACUCGAGGACAGUAAUGUAGCCUCUCCUUCAAAAAAAGAACAUACUACUAUCAAGUUAAAUUUUUGACAGCACCUCCCCUGCACGUGGAGGUUUCCAUAACCUGCAUCAAAUAAAACGGCACGAUGGCUGACAACCACAUCUACAGCACCAGAAUGGCACGAUGGCCGACUUCCACAUAAAGUUCUUAUACCUUAGAUUGCCAAGUCAAACAUCCUUUUCUAAUUUCUAAAACAAAAGCCCUCCCACCUCUCUAUCUUAUACUUUCCUAUUUACUAAUUGCUUUUGUAAUUUCUAAUUUCUAUUUCAUCCUACCACCUCUGUACCCUUUUCUCAUUUCUAAUUCCAAUUUUCUAACUUGAAGAGCAAAGAUUGAUUACUAGGAGGGGUGAGGGACGCCGGCCUAGAGAGGCGAGGGGACGUCCGGCGGCGGCGGGUGCGUCGGGGGUAGGAUGCCAGGGGCGGCUGCAGGGGCGCCGGGUUGGGGGCGGCCGGGAUCGAGGGCACCAGUAGCGGGGGCACCGGGCCGGGGGCGGCCGGCGGGGCGGGACGCCAGGGCCGGGGCGACGGGCGCCGGUGGCGAGGCCGCCCGGCCGGUGGUGGCCGGCGUGGCGCCUGGGCCGGGGGGGGGGGGCGGGCGGGGUGCGGCGCGGCGCGCCGGGGCAGGGCGCCGAGGCUGGGUGGUGGGGUACGGGGCGGCGGGCGGGGGGUGGGGGGAGGGUCGGCGGCGGGGCGCGGGGGCGGCCAGCGGCGACGGCGGAGGGCGUCGGUGGUGUUUCGGAAGUGAUACGGAGGGGGUAGAGAGAUUCGUUUUCGCGGCUGAGUGUUCGAGUCAGAAGGCCGUGCGGCUUAAGUCAGGUGGUUUGCCGAGUGCGCGCGAUCUGGCACUCGGCAAAGUCAGAAGUUUUGCCGAGUGUCAGAUCGCGGGCACUCGGCAACUGCAGCUUUUGUCGAGUGCCCUGGAUUCGGCACUCGGCAAAGUGAAGUUUUAAUUUUUUUUAAAAAAAUUUAAUCGGAACACGGGCGUGCCAGCGGGCCCGUGACAUACUUUGCCGAGUGUGUAGCAAAAACACUCGGCAAAAUAUUAUCUUUACCGAGUGUUUUCGCUAGGCACUCGGCAAAGUACACUUAUAUUUCAUGUACACUUUUUCAAUAACGUGUUUUACUAACCUUUUUCUGAUAUACUUGGGAAAAACCUUAUCAAAUUCACUCAACAAUGGAUAUAUGGUUUUUCUACUGACAUUAUUCCAUUAUUUCAUUCAGUUAUAGCUCAAAUUGAAUUUAUAUCUAUUAAAAAUCAAUAAUUGCAUUUAAUAAAUAAAAAAUACCAAACGGAUCUGAAAAAUUUCCAAAAUUUGACAUGAACCAAUCUAUGUUGUAUGUUGCCUGUACAAAAAGCUUUGAAGUCAAACCCCAAUUCAAGUGUCACUUGGACUCCAAAUCUUAUCGGAUCCUUUCUAACUUCUAUGAAUCCUUUCGGGAGAUGAGUCGGUUUGUAAGCAUCAUAUGUCAUAAAUUGGGCGAAACCUUCUCAAUUUUUUACCACAGCCUCCACAUAUAAUAUCAUGACACCUUGACAAAUCUUGUGAUUUUCAGACUUCGUUUGCUUUUUUUAGAAUUUAACAACCAUUCAACCACAUGUUCGUGAUCGUGUUUUCUAAAAAAAUGUUCAAAAUUUCUUUUCAUUUCCUGGUUGAGACCUCAAUCCGGAUUGAAUAAUAUGAAUAUGAUUUUUUCACUGAUUUUAAUCCAUUAUUUAAAUCACUUGCAGUUAAAUUUGACUUAAAUAAACAAAUUCCUAUUAAUGCUAUCAAUUCAUUAAAAAUAGCAAACAGAGAAAAAAUAGACCAACUUUUAAGAUGGAUUACCAAAUGUCAUAUGUGGGGAGUAGAAAAAGUGUGGAGAGCAGAGGUGGAAAAAAAAGUUUUGCCUUUGCCAAGUGCCUACACAAACACUCAACAAACUUUGCGGAGUGCCUAUUGAAAACACUCAGCGAACUUCUGAGUUUGCCGAGUGUCUGGAGGGAGCACUCGGCAACCUACUUAUUUGCCGAGUGUCCGCGUCGGACACUCAGCAAAGUACUAACGGCUGGCACACUCCCCUAACGGACGGCGCACGUGCAAGCCAUGUGCUGGAGAUUUAUCGAGUGUCAAAUCGUUGCCGAGUGUCGUGUGGAUGUUUGCCGAGUGUCUUAUUUGUGACACUCGGCAAAGCUAUUGUUUGCCGAGUGUAUUAUUUAUGCCGAGUGUCUUCCAGUAUACACUCGGCAAAUGAUGUCUUUGCCGAGUGCUCGACAUAAAGCACUCGGCAAAAAUUUUACACUCGGCAACAUUCCUGUUUCCGGUAGUGAGUGACCCGGGACUAAAGACCCCCGUUGUCUCUGAUUGCUUUAUUCCGGAUGGAUUUUCAGGAGAUUUGCUCCCUACCAAUAGGGACUAAAGGCAAGUUUUCCACUUAUAGCAAACCAGUUAGCCCAUUGUUGAUGGAACGCAUCACUAGAAACAGCUCGGGAUCCACUUGUCCAAUAAUCGAGAGGGCCUAUAUAUGGACCACGUGUGCGGAUCCCUAAUUAGGAAAAAAGAAUAAUGGAGUAGGACAUCUCCAUGCUCACCUAGUAGCCGCUGCUAGCUUGUGCGUGUGGAACACGAGUGCCGGCCCAGUUGGCGCUAAGACAUCGUACGUGCAUUAAGGCUACGAUCUCUUUCUUCUAACUCAUGCUUGUGCUAUUAUACAUUAUUGCAUGAUCAUCAAGAUAAGAUCGUAUAGUGACUGAGUGAGACAUGUAUGUACUAACAUGCAUUUAAGCCUCGAACUGUGUGUUGUUACGUGAGCUGCCUCCUCACCUCGCCUCUGAAUUAUUGAACCGUUUCCAACAGUGUUGGUCUCAAAUAAAUUUGACACCAAACAGAUUUAUGAAGAAGAGAGAAUAAUACUUGGAAUUGGAAAAAGUUUAUCUCUCUUUACAAUGGAGUAGGGCUCCCUUUUAUAGUGACCCAUAAGCCACUUUACAUUUGGAAAAUGUCCUUCCUCAACCACUACAUUAAUUCCUAGGAUAUGCUGUACAUAAAGGUCAUUUGAGGUAACGUGUACAAAUGAACUCUUCCACAUGGUCACGUUUCUCAUGCCUCCUGUUUUCCAACCUCGAGACAUCAUCUUCACGCCAAGUUGAUCAUCUAGCCUCGAGGCUCCAUCCACGAUCCAGAAUGAACGUCCAGGCUUGAGGCUCCUUCUUCGUUAAGCUUUGUUGAGAACUCAUAACCUCACAUAGUUCUCCUCCGAGUAUUGUUCCCGACUCAGAACACUCGAGGUUUAGCUCAGUUGGAGUUUAGCUAUUACUGUUGCUAGUCACCAGCCUCGAGCCCCUCCAGAAGCAAGGUGAUGCGAGGGUACGAGUUUUACUAUUAAAGGUGUUUCCAUAGAAUGUGCGAGGUUAAAGCACUUGCAGCAAAAGCGUGGAGCUGCUUUCAACCAGAGUGCAAUAAUGCAGCCGUGCCCAUCUUGGUCUUGGUCUCCGCCUGAACUAUAGCAGAUGCUGGCAGCGGUAGCAGGGUGGUCCAUUAUAUCUAUGGAUGGCAAUGGUCGGAUUCGGAUGGAAUCGAAUUCGAAUAGCACUUUUUACCACAUACUAAUUCAAAUCCGAAUUCGGAUUCGGAUGUUCUCGAAUGCGAAUGCAAAAUGGAUGGUUCGAAUUCGAAUACUUAGCGGAUUUUUGCAUAAUAUUAAUCGAAUAGAAUUCAUUAAAUUUAGCCAAGAAAUUAAAUUUUCUGAAAUUAAAUACUUUCCCUUCGCCCCAGCGGCGGCCUAACUCCCAGGACGGUGGCGUGCGGGGCCCGAGCAUCCCUGGCCUCUAGUGGCGUGGCGGGGCGGCAUCCAGCAGCAGCGGCGGGGCUCGGCCUCCGGUGGCGCGCGGCCAGCCCGACCUACCCGGUCAGAGGUGGCGCAGCGGUGCGCGGGCCUCCCCGACCAGAGCCGGUGGGGAGCGGUGCGCGGGGAGGACCUCCCCAGCCGGAGGUAGCAGGGCGCGACCUCCCCGGCCGGAGGUGGCUCCCUGUGGGGGCGCGGCCGUGACAGCUAGCGAGGCAAUAAUUGCUUCCGUACGCAGCAAUAAUUGCUUGUGCGACACCGUGUUAUUACUCUGGUACAGUACUCCCUCCGUUGCAGUACACUGGUCCAGGCGUCAGGACACUGCUCCUGCCCUCGUGGUUCACGUGCAUCAGGCCAGCAGACAAGCUAUGAUGUUGCCAACAGUGUUUGUUUGAACAUGGAGAUGUCAUUGUGAUUGUCAGGGACCCGACACCAUGCAUGCCGAUUUCAUAUUCUUAAUAUUUAUUUUUUUAAUGGUUGUUGAAACUAUAUAGUUACUCCAAUAUCACGUUUCCGAUUAUAAAAAUUAACAUAAAGAGAUCGGAAGGGAGAGCCCGCAUAAUGAAGCCGACGCGUAUAAUAAGCACUAGAGCCGGCAUUUAUACAAACGGGUACGCAUAGUAAAAACUAGAAUUUAUAAAUAAAUGAAGAUAUUCAAAUAUCUGGCUUACUUUUUUCAUUAAUUUUGCAUGAAUAAGGGAUGAUUCAUUAAUCAUUAUUGAACAAAUUGGCACACAUGCUUCGUGCCCGCGUUGUGAGCAUUAUGCGAUGCCACUGAGCUGCACCACCACGGUAGAGGGCCUGUUUGCGAUGCCACCGAGCUGCACCACCACGGCAGAGGGUCUGUUUGGGAAGGGGAAGUUAAAGUUUAACACCCCCCAUUUAACACCUUUUUAACAAAAUGGCUGCUAAACACUUGUGUUAAAAGAGUAGUGUUAAAAUUUAACACCUCUCUUUUCAUAAACACAUGGAGGGGGUGUUAAAAUUUGCUAAAUGUGUUAAAAGUGGUCCCCUCCCCACUUAUUCCUUGGUUGCCCCCCUCUCUCUCCUCCUCUCUCUCCUACCCGCCGCAUUUAAGAGCAUUAUUGAGGGGUAAUGCAGUCCUUUUCCAACAAAAGUGUUAAACUUUAACAACCCUUCCCAAACAUGCCACAAGCAACACCACCGGCUGACUGUGCUAGCGGGGAGCACCCUCACCGCCUGCCCGUGGGGACUUCUUCUGCCGGCCAUCGUGUCUUUGUAGGACCGCCGCGUGAGCCUAUGAGCCACCGGUGGCCGUGCGCCCAAGGGCCAUCACCAUGCCACCUGAGGAUGCUGUCUACCCGGUGCCGCGUGCCUCUGCUAGCUGCUUGCACCUGGGCCGCCGCUGGUCGCCUGCACAGCCACGCGUUACAGCCGCCCCCCUGCGCUGGGCCACCCCAUUUCGUGUUGGAAGAACUGCCACAGUCUCGCGCACUGGGGUUUUGCUAGUGACGACCAUAGCCUCCAAGAUCAAAUGAAAAAGUUGGUACUCAAAACAUACAUCCAUUAAUCUAGUCGUGCUAAUCCUUACCACCAAAUAAAAACUAGCAUGUGUUGUGUUUUUGUGACCCUAAACGAUCACAAAUGAAUAACUUAUGGGCGUUGCUAGCCUAUAAGUUAUGGGCGUUUGUGACCCUAGUCGCGCCGGGGUCUUGCUGGUGACAACCAUGGUCUUCGCGAUAAAGUAUUAAGUCUCAUCGAGUUCUACAAUUUUGAUAUAAAAUUUCUAUUCAUCCGAGAUCAAAUGAAAAACAAAUGAAAAAAUCCGAAGUAUUAGGCUUCAUCGAGCUCUACAAUUUUGAUAUAAAAUUUCUAUUCAUCCGAGAUCAAAUGAAAAAAUCCGAGAUCAAAUGAAAAGUUGGAACUCAAAACAUACAUCCAUUAAUCUUGAUAUAAAAUUUCUAUUCAUCCGACAUCAAAUGAAAAAGUUGGUACUCAAAAUAUACAUCCUUUAAUCUAGUCGUGCUAAUCCUUACCACCAAAUAAAAAAACUAGCAUGUGUUGUGUGUUUCUGACCGUAAACGAUCACAAAUGAAUAACUUAUGGGUGUUGCUAGCGUCCCGGACGCUAGCAUCGGACGCAUGAGCAGCCGUCCGAUCGGGUCCGACACCACUUCACGAUCUGUCUUAAAAAAAAGUCCCACCGAAACAUUGUUCCAUGUUGCAUGAAAUACCCCACUAUCCAUCGCCAGGUCUACAGCAAGCACCACCUUCCAAUCUGCUGCUCACCCAAGCUAAAUAGGGGCAUUAAAAUUGCAGAAAUAUGUCACAUAUCCUUGUCAAAUUAAACUAAAUCGCAACAUCCGAAAAUUUCUUACACAAAACCAUGAAACAUAUCGAUUAGAUAGGUGUAACAAGAUGGAAUAUGGUAUCCAACAUAUAGAUUCCGAAAAACAGAUGAAACAUUAUGUAACGAUUGUUGAAACAGUCGAGAAAUAUAGAUGUAACGAUUAAAAUUUAGAAAAGAAGCUUUAUGCAAAUUGCAAAAAGCUGAAAUAAGUGGUUGAAACAUUUCGAAUCACCAAAUGCCACAUUUGAAAUGGCUACAUGAAACAUCACGAAAUCAAUUGCAACAGUUGAAGAUGAAAACAUUCAAAUGCCUUGCCUUUCUCCAGAUUUGACCCUCCAAGCAUGAGUCCAGCCAUUUGCACAUUAGACCCUUGGGAGGAGCUCACCGGAGAACAACAAGACCGUGUUCUCCAACAAUUUUCUGAUCAAAUUGCAACAGACAAAACAAAGCAUUGCAACAUCUGGCAUCACGAGCUACAACAUCAACAAGUUAGGAUCAGGAGAAAGAGGGAAAACACAAGCCUAACAACCCCAAGACAAAACUGAUGUACUCAUCAUACAUCACGGCUUGCCGUGCACAGAGAUGAAGGCCGCCAAGCUCAAUCGAGACAGAGACGACGUGAUAGUGCUCCAGAUCGACGGUCCCCAUCAAUUGUUGCGUACACUGCCAAAAGCAAUGGAAGAAGAAGGGUCGUCCCUGCUCGACCUCCGUAGAUGAGCGCAGAUUGGGGGAAACCGUAUAGAGUGCCGCUGACAGCACAGGCGAGGGGGCUCAGGCUUGAUUCAGGGUGAGGGUAGCGGGUAGCAUGAGGAGACAGUCAGGUUUCAUAGGAGAGAGGCGGAGUAGAGAGCUCUGGUGACUCGGUGAGGAGGGUGCGGCACGGAGAAAGGUGUGUAGCUGAAGGAGCUACAUGGUUGGGGCGAGGCGAGCGUAGAGACUAGAGAGGGAAAAAAAGCAUGGGGAGGAGACGAUAUGUGGUUGAUGGUGCGGGCACGUGGUGAGCGCACCGUAUGAAAAUUUUGCUCGCGUCGGAUGACUGAUGUGAAGCAUUACCCAAUCUUAAUUAUCUCCCAUAAUCCAAAACUCACAAAAACAUCAAAAAUCCGCCGAGAAUAAAUUAAGUAAACCAUGCACACACAGAUAAUAAAAUUGCUAAUAAGGCCAGAGAUAAUACAUGAACAUAUUAGACUGUUCAUGACACAUAUCACGGUGGAUAGUGUCUGUGUCCUUAUUACAAGCAAUGAGAGAUGCUUGUCACCACACACACGCGCACAGAUGCAUGACAUACAUAUAGUUGAGACCAACAGAUGGAUCAACUAGAGGUCACCCCAUAUGGUGAACAAUUUAUUGGAGAUAAACAUUAACAUAACUUGGCCAUAGCUUGAAGCAUAGCAACAUAUGCCUAUGAAUGGCGUUCAUGCUAUCGUUUUAGGCUUGUCCAGCUUCUUUCAUCUUAGCAAGCACUUCCAUUUCUACCAUCUUAGCAGCAACUGUCAAAUUGAGAUAUGGAAAUCCCAUUAGCGCAUGAUUAAUUUUGCAGUGGAAAUAGAGUGCAAGAUAUCUUCAUGAUGUAAAUAACAUGCCUGAAGUUGUGAGAUGGGAAGUGAAGUCAACAAAUUACAUUAACGGAAAUGCAUGGAAGGCCACACAUACGUAUUAGUCCAUAAUACGCUACAAAGCUUGUAUGUACAUAUAGCAAAUUAAAUGCAUUAAUUGAAUAGAGUGAGUUUAGUGAAUUUACCAGAAUCGUCCAGAAAACAUGGGAAACAGCAAGUGUGCUUGCAGACUGUGUCGGAGCCACCCACACGAAUACAAAGCUGACAACAUGCUUGUGCCUCGUGGGAUACGCAGCAGCCGCACUGUGCCGCGGUGGCCGAGUUAACAUUGAGGCUCAAGAUGAACAGGCACAUGAUCACCAUCAAAGUGGUAGUCCUCUUUCCCUCCAUUGCCUCCUGUCGCUGCUACCUUCCUUGGUUACUAGUAAGUUUAUUGGUUUUGUGUUGAGAGGUGAUUCUUGCAUUGAAUGGACGUUGCCGCGGCUGCAAUUUAUAGGCAGCUGCGCUAUGUGAUGAUAUGGACAAGGUGCAAAUGGGUGGUCCUGAUAU
rnacentral:lncRNA from 1 species